AUUAUGGGGAUGCAGUGGAGAUGGUGCUGCAAACGACCCAAUUGGGGGCUGGUGGAAGUCACCCAAUUCAUUUGCACGGUUUCAGCUUCUAUUGGGUGGGAAUUGGUACCGGAAAUUUCAACAAUGAGAUAGACCCAAGCACAUAUAACCUGGUUGAUCCGCCACUUAUUAACACUGUCCACAGUCCUGCUGCAGGAUGGGUUGCCCUCAGGUUUUUUGCAAACAACCCCGGUAAGUUUUUCAAUUAGAAAAAACAGAGCUCAUUGUCGUCCAUCUUUCUAACUACCAAAGUUAUUAGGUAAUUGAUAUUUAUAUAUAAUAUAAUGUUUUCAGGGGUGUGGUAUAUGCAUUGCCAUUUCGAAAGGCAUAGUAGCUGGGGAAUGAGCACUGUUUUGAUUGUGAGGAAUGGAACCACCACCGAAACCAGCAUGCGCCCACCGCCAUCUACCAUGCCUCGUUGUCCUGGAACCUAGACCUAGUACAAGCAUUGAAUAAAGUGGAUUAACACGUGCAUAGCAUGUAACUGAAAUAAGAUUUUAAUUUCAUAAUUUUAAAAUAAAUAGUUAUUAAGAAUUUAAGUUGUGACUAUCUUUUCAUAUUUAAAUCAUUGUUGUAAAAAGUUAUAUAAAUUUUAAAUUUUCUCUUAAUUUUAUUUUAGAACUUUUAAAUCAUAUAUGAAUUGAUUAUUGAAAACAUGAUAGAUUAUCAGUUUUAUUCACAAAAUUGGACCUAUAAUAUUUUAUUUAAACCUAUUAAGCACCAAACUUUUAUUAGUAAUUCACAAUUAACUAGUUUUAACUAUCACAUUAUUCUUCAAAUUUUUGUAAAUCAAUUACUAGUGAAAUUUGUCGAGCGAAAAAAAACUUUCUUAAAUUGUACUAGAGUAGAUAUUCGUGUGAUGUAUGUGAUCAAAGUAGGUACUAUAAUUAAUAUAAAUAUUUCAAUAGAAAAAUACGAGGAUAAAUCGAAGUUAUUUUAAAAAUAAAAAUGUGUUGCCCGUUUGGAAAAUAGUAUCCUUAAUUUUUUUAGGUGUAAAUUGUUUAAGAAUUAUGGAGAAAUGAAUAAUAGUUAGCAUGUUAGAUAGAAGCAUGCAAAAAAAAGAAAAAAAGAAAUAAGGGACUGGAAGUGUAAAUAUAUUUAUAAUAUUGACGUUAUAACUUAUGAAAGAAAAAAAAAUACAUUUGUACAGGAAUAAACGGAUCUACUUGCAACCUUAAGAAAGCUUAAUUUCUUUACCAAUUUCAACCAAAAUCAACACAAUCUAUUAGGCAACCUGAUUGAUAGGAUGGAAGUACUUUUAAGAAGGUAAAAUAAAAGCAGUUUUUGAUACUUAUAAACACCAUCAAACUUUCUAGAAGCAUUUUUUAGGUCAAAAUGUGAUGGUCCCUCUUUUUUUUAUACAAUAUUAGGGGUUGGAGAUAAAAUUAACACAGUUUGAACUCGUGUCAAACAAAUGUCUCACAAAAACUUUAACUAUUGAUCAAUAUAAGUCAAUAUCCAGUUAUUUAUGAUUAAUUGUAAAUUUGUAUAAUCACUUAGUUGUUUAAAUGUGGAGUUCUUACAAAAAUGUAAAAUGACUUAUUGAACCCUCUAACUUUACAAAAAAAGAAAAGAUUAUUUUAGCACUCCAUUUAAUUUUCGUUUCUUUUAGCUCUUAAACUUGUGUUGUUUGUCAGAUCACCUUAAAAUAAAUGAAAAUGUUAACGUCUGUUAACUUUGCUAACGUGGCAUACACAUGAAUUAUCACGUGGAUGCUACAAUAGCAAUUAAUUAAUUUUCUAAAUUUUAAAAAAUUCAAAAUUAAUAUAAAAUUUAAAAAAAUUAAUGUGGAUGUCACGUUAGCAAAGUUAACAUAUGUGGAUGUCACGUUAGCAAAGUUAACAUAUAUUAAUUUUUUCCUUUCAUUUUAGAAUAAUUUGAUGAUCAAUAUAAAUUUAAGGGCUAAAAAGGACGAAAAAUUAAAUAAAUAUUAAAAUAAAUUUUGUAUACAAUAAAACCGCAUCCAUUUAAACUAACAUUUAGGUAUGAUUUACGGAUCUAACUCCAUAAUCUGUUAACAGUCUUAAUCAAUAUGUGAAAUAUUAAGAUUGUAUUAAAGAAUGUAAUUUAAAUAUGUAAGUUUAUAGACAACAACAUGAAUAGGAAUAAUGUUAGAAUUUCUUUCUUUUUAUCAAAUGGAAGAAAAGCCAAGAUAUUACACCGCAACGACAACCAUUAAUUUAUUUAACGUUUUGUUUGAUUAACAUGUUUAGCCAAUUUAAUUAACCUGUAAUUAUUUUAUGCAUGAGAAAAAAUAAAACAUAUUCCCUUCAAACAUAUAUAUAUAUUGAAAUAGUUAGGAAAAGUGAAUUACAUACCUUUUUUUUGUCAAUGCUUGGCAGAAAAAGAAACAUGCACACAUUAUAUUUAAUCUCUUAUUUCAACAUUAACCUUAUAAUUAUUUCUUAGAACGGAAACUAUUUACCUAUAUUAAAAACUAGUGGUAGUGGUGGUAUAUCGCAGAAUUCCAUUGGUAAUAUGUCUGCUGGAGGAAGAUCGAGCAGUGAUGUAAUAAUGGCCAACAUUUUGGUUUGGACACAACAAGACGUCAAUAACUUGCCCUGGGGCUAGGUUUAAAGAACUUGUAAAGGAACGAUUGGUAUAGGUCCCAUUUUGUCCGACAAUCGUCAAUCUGUGUUUUUCGAUGUCAAACACCAUUGUUUCAUUGGCAACAGCAUUUAUUACGCGAAUAAGGUAAAGGCCCUGCCCUGGCAAUCUACUUGCAUCUCAAAAGUUGUAUCUACAACAUCAAAAUUGUUGGAUUAUUAGCAUUCACAGUAAAGGUUUCUGCAUAAAAGUUAAUCUGUUAUCAGUUUUCAUUUCAUGCUGUAUGGCCCAGGGAAGAGGAUGCUUAAUUCAUGUGAUGCAAACUUACGUAUUAAAAGUACAAAAUAGAGUUAAUAAAAAAAAAGAUUUUGAUGGGUCCAACAUCUCGGAUUUUAGUCUUAUGAAUAUCUUACCUGACUUAACUUGGAAACAGUGAGGCCUAAGUUAUUACCAGAUAUCAGAUACCAGAAAAAGAAAAAGUCUAAACAAUAGCGGAUACGUACCGUUGCUGCAUCCAUAUGUUUCUCCGGGAUGGCCAUUGAUAGUGUAAGCAUCUGCUGAGCCAGGAGCUAUGGUUUGAUUAGCUUCCGUUAACUCUUCCCUGAACCAUUCCCCUAACGGAAUAUUAUGCCAAAACAUCCAUAUAAGCAAUUAAUUUGCAAAAUAUAUGAAUCAAACAUGUUAAUCAGAUGUACCAAGUAUAAUUGUUUGAUCAGAAGUAGGUGCAGGGAAAGGAUAGUCUUCAUUGGCUACUGGCAAAAUGACAAAGGCACCGUGGGCAGUUGCAGCAGCCCAAGCCCUGGUAGCUUGCCACCUCAGAGUUCCUAUUUCAUCCCUGUUGGAGCUUGGACCAAAGAAACAAGCAAAAUGAGAAGCUUGUGCAGCAAGCCUCGUGGCUUGGUGAAGAAACAAAAAACAGAAAUUUGCUUUAGAGAACAAGAACAGAAUUGAAAACAAGAAAAAUAGAGCAUGAAAGAUGAAUGAAAUGUGAUAAAUUUCAUUAACUUGAACAAUGGCAUAAUGCCAAUACAUAAAUCAAGCUUUUUGCUUGUCAAAAUCAGCAUAAGGUCAACUAAUAUACACCAACUACCACUAAUACAUUGGAACUUACAAAACUAAACUUGUACACAUAAGUAAAGCUGGUUAACAGCUCAAUCACAUUAAAAAUACAUCAAACUUCUGCCUAAUAUACUUCAAAAUGAACUAAAAUAAGUUACAUUGACUAAAAUGACAAAAAGAACAACAAAAUAAACUGCAGCACUUGGCUUGGCAGCUUCUGGUCUUGGUCUGCUUUGCUUGGUCUGAUGGCUGGUGCAUGAGCUGCAUGGAGGGCCACAUUCUAACACUCCUCCUUGGUUUCCAUGCUGCUAAUUCCAAGUUCUUUCCUUAACUUAAUGAACCUUGAAGCAUUAAGGGCCUUCGUGAAAAUAUCAGCAACUUGUUCCUCUGAAUUGCAAUGAAUUAGCUCUAUUUCUCGAGCUUGUUCCAUCUCUCUUACCACAUGCAAUUUAAUGUUGAAGUGUUUGGUUCUACCAUGGAAUAUAAGGUUCUUUGCAAUUGUAACAGCAGACUUGUUAUCACAAAAGAUCUCUGUUGCUUUCCUUUGAUGCAGGUUCAAAUCAGCUAAAAUCUUCCUUAGCCAAAUGGCUUGAUUGACAGCAUUAGCAGUAGCAACAUACUCAGCUUCUGUUAUUGAUUGAGCAACUAUUGAUUGCUUCUUGGAACUCCAGCAAAACACAGUUGAACCAAGGGUAAAAGCAUACCCUGAGGUGCUUUUCAUAUCAUCCAAGGAACCAGCCCAAUCACUGUCAGUGUAUCCCACUAAUUUCAAUCUUUCAGUCUUGCCAAACUGAAGUCCAUAGUUUAGAGUCCCUUUGAUGUAUCUCAGUACCCUUUUUGCUACUUGAUAAUGCUUUUCAAUGCAAAAAUGCAUGAAUCUUGACAGUAGGCUUGUGGCAAACAUAAUGUCUGCUCUUGAUGUAGUUAGAUAUAGCAAACAACCUACUAAACUUCUGUAGGUGGAUUCACUAACCUGCUCAUGAUCUCCUUGGCUCGAUAGCUUUGAUCCAUUGAGAACUUGUUGGUUUGCAGUUCUCCAUUGAGAACUUUUUCAGAUUUUCAUAGCAAAUGUCUUUUGGCUUAAGAAGAUUCCAUCUAUAGUUUGAAAUACUUCCAAUCCUAGAAAGUAUGUCAUUUGCCCCAAAUCAGACAUCUCAAACAUUUCCAUCAUUUUGGCUUUGAAAUCAGCCAACAUUCUUUGAUCUCUUCCUGUGACCAAAAGAUCAUCAACAUACAUGGACAUAAUGAGCUGUGUUACAGCUUGUUUUUUCUUGACAUACAAGGUUGGCUCACUAGAACUCCUUUCAAAUCCCAAGCUGACCAGGUAACUGUCGAUCCUGCUAUACCAGGCCCUUGGUACCUGCUUUAGGCCAUAAAAAAGCCUUCUUCAAUCUGUACACCAUGUCUUCUUUACCUGACACAACAAAGCCUUGAGGUUGGUCAAUGUAAAUCUCUUCUUUAAGGAAACCAUUAAGAAAUACAGACUUUACAUCCAGUUGAUGAAUGAUCCACUGCCUUUGUGCAGCUAAAGCAACUAGCAAUCUGAUUGUAUCUAGCCUGGCUACUGGUGCAAAAGUCUCCAUGUAGUCCAGGCCAUACUUUUGGCUAAAGCCCUUCACAACUAACUUGGCUUUGAGCUUGUUUAAGCUCCCAUCUGCAUUCUGCUUGGCUCGAUAGACCCAUUUUACCCUAAUGACCUUCCUAUUGGUUGGUUUUUCAACCAAUUCCCAUGUUUGGUUCUUUUCAAUCAUGGCCAUUUCAUCAAACAUUGCUUGUUUCCAGCCUUCAUGUGAUUCAGCUUCUUCAAAACUACUUGGUUCAACUGUAGCCAUAUGUGCCCUCUCAUAAAUUUCAGCCAAUGGUCUGGUUCUCCUGACUGGUUCUUCAUCAAUGUCCAUUUCUGGACCAUUUUGUUCUGGCUCAGUCUGAUCAGCCACAAGUUAUUCAGAAAUAGCCUCAGGUUCAUUUUUUUUCCAAUUCCAGGUUGCUUUUUCAUUGAACACUACAUCUCUGCUCACCAUCACUUUAUUUGUUGAAGGAUCCAAGAUCCUAUAGCCCUUCUUAACUGAACUGUAACCUAUCAGAAUGCUUCCUUGAGCUCUUUUAUCUAGCUUGCUUCUUCUUACAGCUGGUACUUGUGCAUAACACAAACAACCAAAGACUCUCAAGUGAGCCAGUGAUGGCUUGAAUCCAAACCACCCUUCAAAUGGAGUUUUUUGGUCUAAAGCCUUGGUUGGGAGCCUGUUUUGAAGGUAGACAGCAGUGUUAACUGCUUCAGCCCACAAGGUUUUGGGCAGAUUUUUCUCAAACAGAAGGCACCUGGCCAUAUCCAUCAAACUUCUAUUCUUUCUUUCACUAACCCCAUUUUGCUGAGGUGUGUAGACAUUGGUGAGCUGAUGUUUGAUGCCAGCAUCAUUACAGAGGGCUUGAAACUGAGCUAAGAUGUACUCAGCUCCAUUAUCUGACCUGAUGGUCUUUAAUUUAUAGCCUGUUUCUGUUUCAACUGCAGCUUUGAACUUUGCAAACACUUAAGCUACUUCUGACUUAUGUUUCAAAAAGAAAAUCCAACAAUAUCUGGUAUGAUCAUCAAUAAAGAGAAUGAAAUACUUACUUCCAUUCAGAGAAUCUUUCUUCAUGGGGCCACAGACAUCUGUGUGCACCAGUUCCAACUUGCUUGAUGCUCUCCAGGUUGUGUUUGUAGGAAACGAAAGCCUGGCUUACUUUCCCAUUUGACAAACCUCACAAAUAUCUUCAUUCUGAAUUAACUUGGUGAAGUUUUCAACCAUUUCCUUGCUGACCAUUCGAGCCAUCGAUCUAAAGUUGGCACGACCAAGUCAUUGAUGCCAAAGCUUAGUGUCUUCUGUUGAAGCAACAUGAGCUGAAUGUAAGUCACCUGACCAGUUGACUUCAAAGAAUUUGUCACUCAUGGUGACUGUCAUGAGGCUUGAUCCAUUUGGAUCAGUGAUUUGGCACUCCUGGCCCUUGAACACAACAGAGUAGCCCCUUUCAAGUAGUUGAGAAAUGCUGAGAAGGUUCCUGUCGAUCUCAGGUACCAGUAGCACAUUUGUGAUGACUUUGUCUCCUUUGGAAGUGCAUAUUAGCACAUCUCCUCUUCAUUUAGCUUUGAUGAACUAACCAUUUCCAAUUUUUACCUUGGUUUUGCAAAAUCUGUCCAAGGUUUUAAAAAUGUUAGCAUCUGGUGACAUGUGGUUAGUGCAACCACUGUCCAGUAACCACCCUUUUGAGCCUUUGCCUUGACCAGCUAGACAUGAUAUAGCAAAUACCUGCUCUUCGUGGUCACUACUGUCUUCAGCCACUCUAGCUUCUUCACUCUUGUUUUCUGCUUGAUUCUGCCUAGGUCUGCCUUUUUCUUUGCAGACCCUUUCAACAUGACCUUUCUUCUUGCAAUGUUGGCAUAAGGUAUCUGGUCUGAACCAGCAUCUAGCCUCUGGAUGACCAGGUCUUUUACAAAAUUUGCAGAGUUGAUCUCCUUCUCUUGUGGCAUCAGGCUUAGGCUUAUUUUUCCAGUUCUUCUUGCCUUUAUAGGCUGAGGUGCUCGAGGCUGCUUUGGCCUUAGCUUGAAAAGCACCCUCCUGGUGCUACUCCAUUUGCUGGCUUUCCUUUGCUCCUGAGCAUAAAGAGCAUUGAUAAGCUCAGUUAAGGAUAUACUUGCCAUGUCUCUUGAAUCCUCUAGGGAUGAGAUUUUUAUCUCAUAUCUUUCAGGCAAUAUUGAGAGUACCUUCUCCACAAUGCUUGCCUCACUGAACUAUUCUCAUAGACCCCUUAUGCUGUUGACCACAGCCAUUAUCCUGUCUGAGUAUUGCUUCACUGUCUCUUCUUCCUUCAUCUUCAAAUUUUUAAAAUCUUUCGUCAAAUUCAACAAUACUGCUGCCUUGUUCUUUCAGUGCCUUGAAAAUCCUCAUUGAGCUUGUCCCAGGCUUGCUUAGGAGUCUCACAAGCCAUGAUUCUAGUGAAGAUAACAUCAGAAACACAGUUCUGAUUGCAUGACAUGGCCUUGUGCCUUUUGGUCCUCUCAUCUGUAUGCUGUCUGAUUUGAGCCACUAUGGGAUUGGCUCAAAGUGGAGCUGGCUCGACAUCAGUAUUGACAACUUCCCAUAGAUCAAAGGCCUGCAAGUAAGUCCUCAUCUUGACAACCCAUAUGUGAAACCCCUCACCAUUAAAGACUAGUGGUGCUGCAGGAGAAAAGCCUGAUGAAGCCAUUCAGUUUACUACUACAGGUCCCCUAAGAUGAAAGCUCUUGAUACCAAUUGUUGGAGCUUGGAACAAAGAAACAAACAAAAUGAGAAGCUUGUGCAGGAAGCCUCGUGGCUUGGUGAAAAAACAAAAAAUAGAAAUUUGCUUUAGAGAACAAGAACAGAAUUGAAAACAAGAAAAAUAGAGCAUGAAAGAUGAAUGAAAUGUGAUAAAUUUCAUUAACUUGAACAAUGACAUAAUGCCAAUACAUAAAUCAAGCUUUUUGCUUGUCAAAAUCAGCAUAAGGUCAACUAAUCUACACCAACUACCACUAAUAUAUUGGAACUUACAAAACUAAACUUGUACACAUAAGUAAAGUUGGUUAACAGCUCAAUCACAUUAAAAAUACAUCAAACUUCUGCCUAAUAUAGUUCAAAAUGAACUAAAAUAAGUUACAUGGACUAAAAUGACAAAAAGAACAACAAAAUAAACUGCAGCACUUGGCUUGGUAGCUUCUGGUCUUGGUCUGCUCUGCUUGGUCUGAUGGCUGGUGCAUGAGCUGCAUAGAGGGCCACAUUCUAACAAUCCCCUAACUCUAUAUUGUAAGUGAAGUUUCUUCCUGGCUGAAUUGUAUUCUUCGAACCAUCAAUUGUAUCCUCAACGCCCUCCCUACAAACCCACAAACAUAUAUCUAUAUAUAUGAUUUAAGUGUUUGAUCGUAAACUAGGAGUGUAAGCAUCUACAUAUAUGUAUAUAUUAGUAUUACCAGUCGAGGGAAACAGCAUGGUUUGCUUGAUUGUGGACAUUGACAGAAACUGUAUGCCCUCUACGAACCCGAAUCUCAGGCCCUGGAAAGCUGCCAUUGAUAGUCAAGAUGAUCUUCGUGCUAUACAGCUUUGUGAACGGGGAUUCUUGCAACUGAUUUAAAUAAAACCCAAAAUCAAAAUUCAGCACUGCUCUCUCUUAUUAACACAAACACAAACAGCUGGAGUUUAGCAUGUCAAUCAGACCAGAUUGGCUGAAGGAAGAAUCCGAGAAUAUAUGUGGAUAUUCUGUUCUUACUGUGCUUUGAUUUAUGACCUAAUGUUUCUUAUCUGGUAAACUAUAAACAUAAGCAUGUUAAUAUGUUUGAAUUGGUGUUAUUUUCUUCAGGUUUAUACAAAAAGAAUGGUAAUGUUCAGAGAGGUUGCAACCUUUUUGGUUCAGCUAAGGUCUCAGUUUGCGGGUUCAACCUUAAACCUUAAAGAUUCCUUAAAAGUAUUCUCUGAUGUUGAAGAGAUGCUGGAACUGGAAGCUUCUGAAUUUGAGGUUGGUUUCUCUUCGUCUUUCUGAUAAGUUGUUGGGUGUUGUUGCUUUUACUUCUUUUUCAUAUGUUCCAUUGGGAAAAAAUUGCAGCUAAACAUUCAGAAUGUUGUUGCAAAUAAUGGAAAUGUAAACUUAGGUUCUCACAAACUCCUCAGCUCGAACAGACUAAGGUGGGACCUUCUUUUAGAAGCAUGCAUUUGGGAUCGACACUUGCAUUCUCUGCUGUUGCCUAAUCCGACAGUAGUAGUUGCUGGUGCCAACAACAAAGCAGUGGUGGAGCAGCUGAAGUUGCAUACUGAUAGUGCUGAUGGAGAGGACAGUGGUAGAGAAAGUAAACCUAUAGAUGGUGAUAAAGGUUCUGAAAAUACUGGAAAUAAGAAAGCUUAUUCAGGUUCUUUGGUUGGAGGUAAUAAAUUUCCUGGUUAUGAAUUAUCUUCAAAUAUUCCUGUUAAAAAAUCUGAAGGAUGUGACAGCAUACAAGGGGGUGUUACUGAGGUUGAAAACAUUGAAAACCCAAAAGUAGAUGCUGUUACGAAAUCAUCUGUACCAGAGUCCGUUGUGGCACAUGAUAUUUCUGUUUGUUCCCAUUUUGGUGAUGAGAACUAUCAAACAGAAGAUGCAACUAUAUCAGGUCCUUUACAAGUGGAUAGAACAAUCUUAAUUUCCAAUGAUCUUGAUGACAAUGAUUCUAUGAUUGAUUCAAAUGAAUCAAAGAUUGAUGGAUCUCCGCAUUCCUUACUAUCCAGUUUAGAAAAUGUAAAUGGAUGGUUCUGGAUGCCUUUUUCUGAAAUCAGACAGAUAUACACGAAGGACCUUCAAAGAGGAAAUGUCCCCAAGUUUGAAUCCAUCAGUGGUUAUACUCCAUCACAAAUACCCACAGGCUGUCAAUUAAUCAGGGAGGAAGCAUCCAGGCUACGCAUACCUCUAGGAACUACUGAUUAUAUUGUGUCAGAUUAUGAAGGUGAACUCUCGAGUAUAAUUGCUUGUGCAUUGGCAUUGCUGAAAGAUCUGCCUGCUGGAACUGAAGUGUCUAAUCAAGAUGGGAGGAGAGACAGACUAGUUGAAAGUUUACGAAGCCUAAGUCGUGUUCCUAUUUUAACGUCCCUGUAUUGGUCGUCCAGUGGUUCCUCUAAUUCAGAGUCUGUCUCUAGUCUGAGUAUUUCUUCAGAAAAGUCGUGCUCCAGUUUUGAUGGGUUAAGCUUGUUGGAUUCUCUAGUUCCUCCUGAUGCGCAUAACAUAGGGGUUUCUCUAGGGGUUUCAAAAUCACUUGGGAAGGGUAAAUACUCGGUAUUUUAUUUAUAUACUAACCAGUUUCGUGAUCUUCGAGAGCGAUGCUGCCCUUCAGAGCUUGAUUAUAUUGCUUCCCUUAGCCGAUGCAGAAAUUGGGAUGCCAAAGGAGGGAAGAGCGUGUCAUUUUUUGCUAAAACACUUGAUGAUAGGUUUAUUAUAAAAGAAAUCCAGAAGACAAAAUAUGAAUCAUUUGAGAAGUUUGCUUUACAUUAUUUCAAGUACAUGAACCAAUCAUUUGAGUCUGGAAGCCAAACUUGCCUUGCUAAAGUUCUUGGGAUUUAUCAGGUUUGCUUUCCUUUUCAUUUUAAAAAAUAUGCGAUUGCUUUAUUCUUUGCUCUUUUUUUUUUAACAUUUAAACAUUUUGUAGGUAAUAGUAAGACAGCCUAAAACAGGGAAAGAGACAAGACAUGAUCUUAUGGUGAUGGAGAAUCUUACCUUCGGUAGAAAUAUUACUCGCCAGUAUGAUCUUAAAGGGGCCUUGCACGCUCGAUUCAAUUCAGCUGCUGAGGGUUCUGGAGAUGUUCUUUUGGAUCAGAACUUUGUCAAUGACAUGAAUUCCUCUCCAUUAUAUGUUAGUAAUCAAGCCAAGCGUCUCUUGCAACAGGCUGUAUAGAAUGACACAACUUUCCUCAAUGUGAGUUUUAAUUUUUUUCUACGGGACUUUUCCUUGCUCGAACUAGAUGCAUUCUUUCUUUUCUUGAAUAAAUUUUGCCCUUAUAGUAUUCAGCACUCCCCAUCAACCCCAACAUCCCAAACCCCUCCAUCAACCCCAUAUCAUCUAUAUAUUUCCCUUGUAUGUUAUAUUCCUCAAAUUUGGAAUGAGGUGUUGACUGAGUUGUGUUCCCUUGUACAGUCAAUCAAUGUAAUGGGUUAUUCUUUACUUGUUGGGUUGGAUACGGAGCGGCGGGAGCUUGUAUGUGGGAUCAUUGAUUAUCUCAGGCAGUAUACUUGGGACAAACAACUUAAGACAUGGGUUAAGUCUUCAUUGGUUGUUCCUAAGAAUUUGUUGGCAACUGUGAUUUCUCCCAAGGAAUAUAAGAAAAGAUUCAGAAAGUUCAUGUCAACUUACUUUUUGAGUGUCCUUGAUCACUAGUGUUCACAGGGAUCCUCUGACCCUUGCCAACUGUGUGGCACUCCAAAUGAUGCCUCGUCUCAACCCGAGUCCCUAAAUGGUAUUUCUGCCUAGUUCUUGUAUUCCUUGUUUCCCAUUUAUUCUUUGAAUCAUCCCUCUUUUUUUAUAGCCAGUUGAAAAAUGUUGUGUGUAUAUAUAUACCCAACCCCAUUAUAAUACAAUUUUUAGCAAAUUUGUGGGGAUAGUUUCAACUAGCAUUCGUCGUAUGUUCAGAAUUUUGUAUGGUCAAGUGAGAAUGUAAAGACCCGAGGUUAUUGGAAGAUUGAUAAUGUAAAAUCAAUUUAGAGUUUCAGCUACCAAUUUGUAUUCUUGGUGCCUUUUCCUGUUGUUGUAUUUAUGUGUUUUUUUCCUUCUGAAUUUCUGCUAUCAGCCUCUGGAAUUACUACUGCUGCAUACAGUUGCUAUACUUUUAUUUUAAUUUUUGUGUAAUUUAUAAUGAUCCAGGUUUAUUUAUAUAAGUAAUUGAAUUAAUAGAUAAAUUUAAUUUCUAUUAUAACUUAAUUAAAAAAAGUACUCUUAAUCUAUAUUGUUUUCCCAAAUAAUUACCUAAACACUUUUUUCUUUGGGUCAAUAUAGAUACUCAAACUGUUGUGUGGUUACCUAUUUAACCCUAAACCUUGUCCAAAAAAAAUUGUUCAAUCAGAAGUUACCACGUCACUUUGUAAGCAAUAUAUUUUAAAAUUUACAUGAAAUUUUAAAAAAAACAAAGAAAAAAUAAAAAUGAGUUUUAAUUAAAUUUAUUAUCGUAAUUAAUAGUUUUGUUUACCCAAAUUAUAACUUUUACCAUUUGUUUCUUUUCGGUAAUCAAAACCAAACUGUUCAUUUUCUUUCUAGGAUCAUAAUCUUCCAUUAUCAUUUGGGUUUAGGUUUUCAUGUUCAUAGUUUGAUUUGUUUGUUUUGAGAUUUUCCUCUAAAGCUGUAACAGCCUAAUUUUCAGUGGUGUUGGAACAGUGAUUCGAGAUCACGAAAUCCGACAAAUGAGUAGGAAAUAUUAUUAAUUUAGUGAGUAUAAGUUAAAUGUGAAGUUAGGAAAAAUUUUGAAAUAGUAAAAUGUACAAAUAUAUAUAUUAAAAUAAUUAGAAUUGAAAACGAGGUAUCGAGACCUCGGGAAUUUUAAAUCGAGCCAUAAAUAUUUUUAUAAAUAUUUAUGGAGUGUUAAUAAGUUAGUAUUAAAGUUUCGUCAAGAAAUUUUAAAGUACUGAUAGCUAAUUGAACAAAAAGGACUAAAUUGUAUCAAAUGUAAAAUUGUGGGAAAUGAUUAAAUAGCUUAAAUGAUAAAAGAAAGAGGGUUUAAAAUGAAAAUAGACCCAAGGUCUAUUUGGGCUGGACGACAAGAGCAUGAAAUCACCAAGAAAAUAAGGGAAAAAUUAGAAAAUUGCAAAAUUUACUUAAUAAAGCUAGGACUAAAGUGGAAUUAUCUAGAUUUCUCUUUAUUUUUCUGCAUUCUCAUCAGCAAAAACACCAUGGAAGAGUUCCCUUAAGCUGGGUUUUAAUAUUUUUACUGCAAGUAAGUUCAAUUCUUGAUUAUUUCUUGAAAUUUUUGUGUUUUUUGUGACUUUUACAACUAGGUCCAUUUGUUGAAUUCAUUAGUUCUUGAUUCUAUGAAAGAAAUUGAAAGUUUCUAUGAAUAUGUGCUGGAAGUAUAUGAUGAUUUGACAUAGAAUUAGAGUUUUAAAUUGUUUAUAUGCUGAUUUUAUUGAAAGAAUUGAAUAGAAAGUGAAUGUUUGGGACCUAAAUUGUAAAAGAGUUUGAAGUUAGAGUUUUAUGUGGAAAUUCUGAAUUUCAAUAGUUAUGAAAUAACUUAUAAUGUCUAGGAAAAGCAUUAAUUGAGAAAAUUAGUUUAAUUGAGGGGUUAAUUAAGUAAGGACUGAAUUGUAUGAACUGUGAAAUUUGGGGCAAAAUGAAAAUCAACAUUUUGCACUAAAACAGUUUUGGACAGCAGCAAUAGUCUAACUUUGAAAAAUCUCCAAAAAUUUUAGAAAUCUAAUUAGAGGAUGAAUAAAAUAUGAAAUUAAAGCUUAUUGAGUCUAGUUUCUUAUAGAAGCACGGUGUAAGCAAUAGAAUUGUAAAUCAUGAAAUAUAAUAAGUUUUGUGAGACAAUGUUAGAAUGAUUUCGGGUUCCCCUGUUCUGACUUUGGAAAAUCAUAAAAAAUUGGAGAAAAAUAAUUAAGGGAUUAAAUUUAUAUGUUUAAAAUCCUUAAAGAGUCUAUUUUCAAUAGAAAUAAGCGGGAACAUCAUCCGAAUCUCGUACGAUAAGAUAAUUAAUUCUUAGUGAAGAAGGGUCGGAACUGUCAAACAGCAGAACAGGGGAAAUUUUAAAGAAUAAACUGUACUUAUUGGCUAAACCAAAAAUUCUGAAAAUUUUAUGGUAAUAAGAUAAGUAAGUCUAGUUUCGGGGAAAAUUAGUGGAUCUUAAUUUUGAGUUCUGUAGCUUAAGAUAUAAAUAAUUUAGUGACUAUGACGCAAAUGGACAGUUUUGAAUAUAUAUAAGUAAAUAGUGAAAUUAUUGAUAAUGUUACUUGUUGCAUGUUAUAUAAAUUAAGGUUGUGGAAUGGAAAGGAGGAGGAGGAAAAUAUGUAUGAAUAUUCAGCUAGCAUAGCUAAUUUGCAUAUUUUAGGCUCAGGGACUAAAUUGAAUAAAAGUAAAACUUUAUGGUAAUUUUGUAAAAAUGUCAGAAAUGACCAAAUUGCAUGAAAUGGAUUAUUUUAUUAUUUAAAUUAAAAAAUUGAAUGAAAUUAUUAAUUUAGCUCAAGAUCAGGGAAAAACAUGUUUUAAGGAUUAAAUUUAAAAGUGUUGAAAUUAUGGAAAAUUCUGACAUUUUAUAGAAUUCAUAGGUUGUUAUCAAUUUGUGUGAGAAUAACUGCUAGAAAUAAGGAUUAAAUUGCAAUAAUUUUAUUUUAUUUUAAUCUAAGGAUGAAAUUGUCAUUAAUUAAAAUUUUAGGGGUAAAAUGAUAAUUUUGUUUAGAGCAUUAGUUGAAUGUAUUAUAUCAUGAAAUAAAUGAAAACGAAGAUCAAAUUUCUUUAUAAAGAUCACGAUGACUUGAAUACGAGACUUGAACGUGGAAAAGAAAAGAUGUCGGAUUAAUGAAAUAUCUGAUAAAUGAAUCGGUAACUCGGGUAAUGCUCCGUAACUCUAUUCCGGUGACGGAUUCGGGUUAGGGGCUUUAAAAAAGCCAUUCCCCCUCACUGGUUCUCUUGUCUUUGUGCACUGUUAAAUAUGGAAGUUCUUUUUUCUUUCAUUUAGCUGGAUUUCUAGAUAUGGGUAAGCUCAAUUCUUCAUUAUUUCUUCGUUCAAUUGUUAAUGGUGGAAGGAAUCUUUCCAGUUACACUUUUUCUUUUUCUUGUUCUUUUAACACCAUUAUUACCCAAAUCGAAGCUUUUUAGUAAAUCUUCAAUGUCAGUAAGGGGAAACCGGAAAAAGUAUGACCGCUUCAAUAAUGUUGAUGAUGCUUUGACUUUGUUUAAUAAUGUAAUUGAGAAGUACCCAGAGUCUUGGAUUUUGGAAUUCACUAAACUAUUAGCCGCCAUUGUUAGAAUGAAACAAUAUGCCGUAGUUGUUUCUAUGUAUAGCCAAAUGGAAUUAUUAGGAGUUUUCCAUAACGUGUAUUCUUCGAACAUCUUGAUUAAUUCCUUUUGUCAGUUAUAAAUCAAAUUGAUUUUGGGUUUUCUGUUUUGGGGAAGAUGUUGAAGUUAGGUGUUGAGCCUGAUGCUGUAACUUUGUCUGCUUUGAUCCAUGGAUUUUGUAAACAAAGUAAUAUUUUGCAGUCUGUGAAAUCAGUGCCUUUUUGCCGUAAUAAGAUUGCACUCCCCUUGAACUAAUAUGAUGUUUUGAGCUUCCACUUGACAUCUCUGAAAUGAAGUCGGAUCUUGAAAAUAAUUCAUCUGCAGGUUCAGAAAUUGAAGAAAAAAUUUAAAAGAAAAAAAAAACCAGCUUCUAUCGUGAGGGAGAGGGAUAUAUAAGGUUGAAGAAAGGGAAAAAAAAAGAAUAAGGUAAAUUACACCAAUCAAUCACUCAACUUUAGGGUAGCUAACAAAAUAGUCACCUAGGUUUCAUUUCAGUCACCCAACUUUUGAAAAAUAACAAAACAGUCACUAAGGUUAUAAAAAAGUGAUAAAACAGUCAUUUACUAACAGUUUCUGUUAGUGUCUUAACAGAACUGCUGAUGUGGCAAGUUAACUGGCUGAUGUGGCCAGUUAACUUGCCACGUUGGAUGAAGAGAUUGAAAAAAUCCCCUAAAAAAACCCUUUAAUAGAGAAGAGGAAGAAGAAGAAGGAGAAAAACAGUCACUGAAUUCGCCCUUUUCACGUAAAUUAAGUACAUAAGCUCAUUGAAUAAAAAAGAACAAGAUAGGUUUACAGCCGUUUUACCAACACAAUGAUACAACUGCUUACAAACAAACAAGCAGGCCCCUGCCAUUUACAAACAGGAACAUCAAAAAACACAAACAAGACAACAUAAAUACCAUCAAUAGAGGGAACAACAAAUUUAGAAACACGAAAGUCAGUCGCCAAUCCUCCCAAUAUUAACUCUGUCGAAACUAUUUUUUUGAAAAACGGGGAUCGAUUUUAUAUUUUGAAAAGAAAAUGAAAAUGGGGAGUUGCCACUAAUCCCUUUUUAUUGAGGUGUGAUCGGGUUGCCUCGUAAUUUUAUUGUUUUAAUAAAACGUUUUUUUUACUAAAAAUUUGACUUUGGUCUACGAGAUUCGAGAAAACGGGUUCGGGAGUUGGUUACUACGAGGAAGGAUUAGCACCCUCGUAACGCUCAAAAUUGGUACCAAAUUGAUUAAUUAACGUCUUAAUGUUGAAAGUUGAAAAGAUUUUAAAAUAAAUUUUAAAAAUAUGAUCCCUUUUAUGCAUGUUUAGAUAUCUUGAAGUGGAUAUUAAGAUUCUCUUGUUUCGAAGAAAUAAAAUAUCACAUCCAACACGUAGUGUAAAGACCCAAAAUCCGUGAGCACCGGAAGAGUGUGUUAUCGGGCCUCCAUCUUAGUGAAAUAAGUUUGAAAAUAAUUAUUAAAAAUAUUUAUGAGUCUAGUGGUGUGUCUAAUUAGGUUUUAAUUAAGUAAAUUUAGCUUAAUUUAGAGUAAUUAGCAAAAAAGGAUUAAAUUGAAUAAGGGUAAAAGUUUAAUUAUAGAUUUAAGAAAAACUAAAAGGACUAAAGGGGAAAUAAACCAUUUCCUAUAGCUGAGGCCGUUUAACGUGGAAAAAAAAUAUCAAAGAUUUUAUUGAUUAAAAUAUAUAUAUUUGUUUAAUAAUUAAGUAUAUUAUAUUAUAUUAUAUUAUAUUAUAUUAUAUUAUAUUAUAUUAUAUUAUAUUAUAUUAUAUAUAAAAGAAACAAAUGAGUUAAAAGAAACAGAAAUGAAAAUGAAAACAGAGAAGAAACAGCGGAGAAAGAAGAAAAAGGAAAAUUUAGGUUUCAAGGUUCAAAAUUAAAUUGGUAAGUCAAUGUAAUCCUUUUUCUUGUAAUUUUUAAGUUUUUGGAGUUCUAGGAAAAAUAUGUCAUGAUUUAUAUUGAAAUUUUGAAAGAUAGUAGAUUUCUAAACAUGAGUUAUGUUGAACAAAUGAUGGAAUUGGGGGUUUAUUUGAUAGAAAAUUUGAUUAGAAUUGAAUAAAGGAUUGAAUUGUAAACUAAGCUAUAAGUUUUUGAGUUUUAGGGAUUAAAUUGAAAUAAAUUCGAAAUUAUGAAAACAUGAUAAAAAUUAAGUAGUUAGAUGUGAGUUUGGCAAGAAAUUGAGUAGCAAAAAGGUAUGAAUUGAGAAAGAAAAAUAUAUAGGUUUAGUUGGGAUUAAAUUGGAAUUAAAGUAAAAGUUAGAUAAAAAUUUCAGCAUUUAAAUUGUGUUAUGCUAAUAAUUGUGAAAUUAUUUUAAUUGUUCGUAGCUAAUAUCGAGCCUGAGGCAUCGGCCCAAAAAGGAAAAGGAAAGAUCGUUGAGGAUUAAAUCCGAAGAAAAUUCUAGUUUGUAUCACUAUAACUCAAGCUUUAUAAUUAAUAUGUGUUUAAUUUAAUAUGAAUGUGUGGUAAGUAUUUUAAGGUAAGUAUUUAAUGAACUGAUAAAAUUUGUGAUUGGGUAUUAAAAUUGAGAUUGAUACUGAAUUGAAUUAUGGGAUACUGAAUAUUGUUUUGAAUACUGAAUUGAACUGUGAAAUUACUGAAUAAUGUUACGUAUAUUGUAUUGAACUGUAAAAUUUCUAAUGAAGUGAAUUACAGUAUUACUGUGAAAAUUGAUCAAAAUAAUAAAUUAUAAUUAAUGUUGAAUCGAAAUGGAAAUUGUACUGAAAAAUGAUUUAAAUACCCUAUUAACUAGUCGGGCUAGUUGGAUAUAGUUGGCAUGCCAUAGGAUAUGGAAGAGCACGGGUUUUUCCCGGCUUACUGAUUAGGCACUUAUGUGCCGACUACUGUUACUGUUACCGUUACUGUUAUUUAUUCGACACUUUGUUUGUUGAAUACUGUUACCGUUAAUGUUACAAAUUCAGCACUUUGUGUGUUGAUUACUGCUACUGUUGCUGCUACUGCUACCGUUACUGAUUGCUGAUUAGGUACUGUGUACUGUUUGUUGGUUGGAAUCCGUGUAUCCGCCAAGUCCGAGUCAAGUUAAUAGGGGCAAAUGAAAUAAAUCUACUGAUAAAACUAAAUUUGAAUAAUAUGGCAUAUGUGAAAGUUGAGAAUUGAAACAAAGAAAUAAGAAUGGUAUAUAUAUAAUUGAAUAAUAAAAUAAAAAAAGAUUGAAUUGUUCAUUAAGUGAUGAUGAUUGUAAUGUAAAAGUAUGUGUGUGAUUUAAUGUAUUUAAUUAUAAACUGAAUUAUAGUGAUACCACUGAGUAUAUGCAUACUCAGCGUACGGUUGUUUCCGUGCAUAGGUUGUAGAAGUCAAGUACUGAACCAGCAUCCAAAGCCAGACCCGACUUCAGCAAACUUUUGGUGAUGUAUAUUUUCUUUUGGUAGUGUGGCAUGUACAUAGGAUGUGUAUAAAAGUUAUUAUGUUUUGAAUAUAAAUGAUUUAAAAUGUUAGUUUUACAAGUCUAAGAAUUAUAAUGAAAAAGUUUAUCCAUUUCAAUUUAAUUAGUACAAUGAUAAAUUUAAAUUAAUAUUAUAUUGAUUAAGUUAGUUAGAAGGUAAUUAGAAUAGAAAAUGAAUGUGUGAAAUAAAUUGGUUGAAUUGGUUAUGUUUGAAAUGGAUAUGGUUUUAAUUGCAGGGGGUUUUAUGUAAAAAUAAGCAAAAAUGCUGUCAAAAUUUAUAAAAUAAAAAAUAAAAAAAAUUGGAGUACUUAAACGAGUUCGUUUCACUUAAAUGUAUGCUUUAGACUUUGAGAGUUCAAUAUAGGGAUUUAGUAACCAAAUUAUGCUAAGAAUGUUAUUUUAUUUGUGAAUUAUUCAUAAGUUGUCUUAUACGCUCGGUAAUGCCUCGUAACUCUGUUCCAGCGACGGUUCCGGGUUAGGGGGUGUUACACGUAGGACAGGACAUUUCAAACCUUCGAUACCAAAAUCAUCUCGUAAUUUCUAAAACUUAUGCAUAGGAAUUUUUAAAAAAAAUAUUCGGUUGUUCGAUAAAAAUGCAAUUGUGUGAAACAAUUAAGAUUCUCUUGUUUCGAAGAAAUAAAAUAUCACAGUACAAAACAUUUCAAACCUUCAAUACCGAAAUCAUCUCGUGAUUUUCAAAACUCAUGCAUUUAAAAAAAUUUAAAAGGAUAUUCCGUUGUUUGGUCAAACAAUAAAUCGAAACCCAACACGUAGGGCACGAUUUUCUCGAUAUUUCCAAACACGAAAUAUUGCCUUUAUUAAAGAAUCUCUUUUUUAUGAAUUUAAGGUGAAGAUUAAUGCAACAUUUAAAAUGAUAUACAAUAUGUGAUUCAAUGUUAUGAUGACAAUGACAAAAUUACAAAGGUAGAUACAAUAUUGGUAAACAAAUCUCGAUCAAUGAGCGAAGCAAUAAAACAGGGAUACAUGAUGUAAAAAAUAAACAAACAUAACGUAAAAUGUUUAAAAAUGAAUGGGACAAUGAAACCAUGUACAUAAAAGGAAACAAAUGAUGAACAGAAGCUUGAGUAAAUAUUAAUAGUAAGAAAAUAUACGAAUCAACAAUCAUUUAUAUAGAAAACAUUAACCUUGUGAACUUUAAUAUGUAUACAUAAAAUACAUAAAUAAAUAAAUAAAUGAAGUAUAUAUAUACGUAAUAUUAAGUAGGAAAUCUUUUAAAAUAUGAAAAAUAAUAAAAUAGCAAAGUCAAGAUAAAAAUAAUGAUAAUAUCAAGAGUGAUGAUAUAUAUAUAAUAUAAUAAAAUAAAUGUGUUUAAAAAAAAUAUGUUAACUCGUUUAAUAUAGUAAUAAUAACAACUUACAUAUAAAUGCAAACAAAUAAAACAACAUAAUGAUAUAAUAGUAGUAAUACGAUAAUAACAAUAAAAAUAAUAUUGAUGGUCGAAUCAUAAUAUUAACAAAGCAAAUAAGAUUGAUUAAAAGAUGAAAUAAAAUAGGAGGUGUAUGAUAAAAUAAGUGAAUGUGUCAUGAAACAUAUAUAAUAAAUGAAUAAAACAACAAUAUAAAGAAACAUAUACAUGAAAAAUAAUAAAGAAAGUAAACAACAGAAAUAUAUGUAGUAAUGACGACACAACAAGAAAAUAUAAAUAUGAAUAAAUAAAUUUUAAAAAGAAAUAGGAGGUAAUAAGGAGUAAAAAUAAAUAGGAAAUAGAAAUAAAUUAAUUAAUACAUGAACUGAAAUUAAAUUAAUAAAGGACUAAAUCGAAAUCUAGAUAACAUUAAAGGAGAAAUUCGGACAUAAAACUAAAGUAGCAGACCAAUUUGAAGCGCACUAGAACCUUGAGGGGCUGAUUGGGAAAAUAUUCCCAGCCCUUUAAGCACAGCGUUUCAAGGAACCGAUCUGAAUUGAACACAAAAACAUGGGGCAAAAUUUAAAAAAAAAGAAUCAAAUAAGGGCCAUAUUGCAAGGCGCCACGAAAGCAGAGGGGCUACGCACGCAAUUAUCCCCUUCACCGCAAACACGCAGAUCCUCAAGGGAGAUGGAUCGGGUCACAGGUCAAAGGCCCGAUGCGGCGCCUUUUCAGUGCAAAUUUCCUUGGUGCAAAACGGCACCAUUUUGUUGUGCUAUUUAGACCGAUUUUUUAUUAAUUUUUUUGUUUGCUGCCUUUUCUAAAGAAGAACAACUCCCUCCCGUUUAUACUCUGCUAGGGUUUAUACACCCAUCAUUGCCGCCGCCGUCGUGAUGCCACCUUAGGUGGUGAUCAAGGUCGUGCAAAGGGAGGACUCCUUAACCUCCGUUUAGAGUGUCCGAAGCCCUAAGAGAAUAGGGCCCCUUUUCCCUUUUGGGAUUCGGCCUCGACGAUAGAGUGGGGACUCCGACCACAGGACCCCGAGGUUCAGGUGAGCCUUCUUGUCUCUCUUUUUUUUUAUAUAUUUUUGUUAAAAAUAGAUUUGAAGACAGAAAAUGAAAAUAAGAAAACAGGAAAUAAAAAAACAAGAAAAUGAGAUUCAACCUUUUAGUUUUUUCUUUUUGAUUGCUUAAUUGUUUAUGUGUAUUACAUUCUUUUUGUGCUUGUAGCUAUAUAGUCGAAUAAAAAAAAUGCUUUAGCCUAUUCCUUGCUACUGUUUUGCUUCGUUUCUGCUUCUUUGCUUUCUUUUCUGUUUCUGUUUUGUAGGUUUAGAGGGUCAACAGGGGCGAAAACAUGCCAUUUUGGUGUAAGGUCGAUAGAGGAAAUGACCCUCGGGCGAUGUGUGCGUCGAGGGUGCACAUGGAGGGCUUACGGCGCACUCGAGACAUGCGAAAGGGGGAAACAGCGCCUAAGGUUUCUUUUGGCUGAAUGAGUUUAGGUUUCGGGCUAUUCUUUGGGCUAGGGUUUUUUAGCUUUGGGCCUACAAAAUUUGGGCUUUAUAUUUGGGUUGUAAAUUUGGGUAUGGUAAGUUUUACAUUCGGGCUCUUUUUGUAAUUGGACUUAGACUCUUAACUUGUUUUGGUUUUAUUUUUGUUUUUGGGUUAUUGGUUUAGCCCCGGGAAAAAUAAGCCCAUUACAAACUCUUACUGCGGGUAUUCUAGAACUGCAACUUUGGACUACUGAAAAUUAUGGAACUGUCUGCAGUACCAAUGGUUUUAAGGAGAUGUCCGCAGUUGUUCGAGAACUAGUCUAAUUCUUCUGCAUUCACAAGCACGACCCACCAAUGUCUUUGAAUCUGUUUCUCCCCCAUAGCUAGAGAAGGAUUUCUCAUCAAGUCAAUAGAUCUGUUGGAGGUUUCACUGUAUAGUUGUAACGCCCCUAACCCGAAUCCGUCACCGGAAUAGAGUUACGGAGCAUUACCAAAGUUACCGAUUCAUUUAUCAGAUAUUUCAUUAAUCCGAUAUCUUUUCUUUUCCACGUUCAAGUCUCGUAUUCAAGUCAUCCGGAUCUUUAUAAAGAAAUUUGAUCACCGUUUUCAUUUAUUUCAUGUUAUAAUACAUUCAACUAAUGCUCUAAACAAAAUUAUCAUUUUACCCCUAAACUUUUAAUUAAUGACGAUUUCAUCCUUAGGUUAAAAUAAAAUAAAAUUAUUGCAAUUUAAUCCUUAUUUCCAGCCGUUAUUCUCACACAAAUUGAUAACAACCUAUGAAUUCUAUAAAAUAUCAUAAUUUUCCAUAAUUUCAACACUUUUCAAUUUAAUCCUUAAAACAUGUUUUUCCCUGAUCUUGAGCUAAAUUAAUAAUUUCAUUCAAUUUUGUAAUUUAAAUAAUAAAAUAAUCCAUUUCAUGCAAAUUGGUCAUUUCUAAAUUUUUUUUACAAAAUUGCCCAUAAAAUUUUACUUUUAUUCAAUUUAGUCCAUGAGCCUAAAACAUACAAAUUAGCCAUGCUAGCUGAAUAUUCAUACAUAUUUUCCUCCUCCUCCUCUCCAUUCCACAUCCUUAAUUUAUAUAACAUGCAACAAGUAACAUUAUCAAUAAUUUCACUAUUUACUUAUGUAUAUUCAAAACUGUCCAUUUGCGUUAUAGUCACUAAAUUAUUUAUAUCUUAAGCUACAGAACUCAAAAUUAAGAUCUGCUAAUUUUCCCUGAAACUAGACUUACUUAUCUUAUUACCAUAACAUUUUUAGAAUUUUUGGUUUAGCCAAUAAGUACAGUUUAUUCUUUAAAGUUGCCCCUGUUCUGCUGUCUGACAGUUCCGAUCCUUCUUCACUAAGAAUUAAUUAUCUCAUCGUACGAGAUUCGGAUGAUGUUCCCACUUAUUUAUAUUGAAAAUAGUCUCUUUAAGGAUUUUAAACAUAUAAAUUUAAUCCCUUAAUUAUUUUUCUCCAAUUUUUUAUGAUUUCCCAAAGUAAGAACAGGGGAACCCGAAAUCAUUCUGACAUUGUCUCAGAAAACUUAUUAUAUCUCAUGAUUUACAAUUCCAUUGCUUACACCGUUUCUUCUAUAAGAAACUAGCUUUAAUUUCAUAUUUUAUUCAUCCUCUAAUUAGAUUUCUACAACUUUUGAAGAUUUUUAAAAGUUAGACUAUUGCUGCUGUCCAAAACUGUUUUAGUGCAAAAUGUUGAUUUUCAUUUUGCCCCAAAUUUCACAGUUCAUACAAUGCAGUCCUUACUUAAUUAACCCCUCAAUUAAACUAAUUUUCUCAAUUAAUACUUUUCCUAGACAUUAUAAGUUAUUUCAUAACUAUUGAAAUUCAUAAUUUCCACAUAAAACUCUAACUUCAAACUCUUUUACAAUUUAGGUCCCAAACAUUCACUUUCUAUUCAAUUCUUUCAAUAAAAUCAGCAUAUAAACAAUUUAAAGCUCUAAUUCUACAUCAAAUCAUCAUAUACUUCCAUCACAUAUUCGUAGAAACUUUCAAUUUCUUUCAUAGAAUCAAGAACUAAUGAAUUCAACAAAUGGACCUAGUUGUAAAAGUCACAAAAACACAAAAAUUUCAAGAAAUAAUCAAGAAUUGAACUUACUUGCAGUAAAAAUAUGAAAAACCAGCUUAAGGGAACUCUUCCAUGGUGUUUUUGCUGAUGAGAAUGUAGAAAAAUAAAGAGAAAUCUAGAUAAUUUCACUUUAGUCCUAACUUUAUUAAGUAAAUUUUACAAUUUUCCAAUUUAGCCCUUAUUUUCUUGGUGAUUUCAUGCUCUUGCCGUCCAGCCCAAAUAGGCCUUGGGUCUAUUUUCCUUUUAAACCCUCUUUCUUUUAUCAUUUAAGCUAUUUAAUCAUUUCCCACAAUUUUUCAUUUGAUACAAUUUAGUCCUUUUUGUUCAAUUAGCUAUCAGUACUUUAAAAUUUCUUGACGAAACUUGAAUACUAACUUAUUAACACUCCAUAAAUAUUUAUAAAAAUAUUUAUGGCUCGAUUUAAAAUUCCCGAGGUCUCGAUACCUCGUUUUCAAUUCUAAUUAUUUUAAUAUAUAUAUAUUUUGUACAUUUCACUAUUUCAAAAUUUUUCCUAACUUCACAUUUAACUUAUACUCACUAAAUUAAUAAUAUUUCCUACUCAUUUGUCAGAUUUAGUGAUCUCGAAUCACUAUUCCGACACCACUGAAAAUUAGGCUGUUACAACUCUCCCCCCUUUAGGGAUUUUCGUCCCCGAAAAUCUUACCAGAAGAAGUUGCUUUCAACACUCAUAAAACACAUUUACUAACUUCUCAAAAUCACAAUUUGAUUUAACCUCGAAUAUCUUUUUCCAUUCAUCUUUGAACUCUAGAACACAAUGUUGGAACAUACUGUCAAAAUUCUAAAUUACCCUCUCAGGGAUACAUAUACUCAGCUGAUCUGUCAAAUGAAAACUCUGUACCUCCUGAAAUGAUCAUACAGAUCUUUCUUUGUCAAAUGAACAACCAUAAACUAAAUAACAUUUUCCUUUCCGAUGUUAAUGACAAUCCCAAUUCGAAAUCUAUAGUCAUUCUUUCUCAUAACACACUAGUAUUAUCAUUGACUGCAAUAAUCCUAAAUGUUCUUAAUGUUCGGCUUACUUGCUAACAAAUAGACAUCUGAACAUGAACUCAAAGAUAUUAUGUAACGCUCGUGCAAUCACUAGUACAUCUAACUCACAAGAAGAUAAUAAAGAUCUUGAUAAUUUCUCAAAGAAAGCCAGAAGAAAAACACUGCUUACCGACUCUAGACUUCCAUCAUAACAGAGAUAAUAUAUUUCCCGCAUGUAUAAAAUAAAAUCAUAAUCAGUAGAAACAUAAGAAUAGUCUCACAUAAAUUUUUACCAUUAACUUCAUUUCCAACAUAUUAAAAUAGAAUUCCAAGAAGAUGAAGAAAUGACGAUCAUAAACCAACCAGACCAAUAGGGCUUUUGUCUAACAUCAUAAUUAACUAGCAUUCUCAAAACAUCAGAACUCCACCAGAGACUGAACAACCACACACACAUAUCUCUGAGGAUAAAAGAAUAUAUAGAAUACCCAGAAAAAAUGAUCAUAUUCAUUUCAACUGUAACUAUCACAUACAGACAUCUUUACUACUCAAUUAUCAUUUUUUUUACUAAUUCUGUCAUCAUGAACCCCGCAUCAUUCCAUUCACUAACGAAAACCAAUUCGGGAAAAAUUUCAGCAAACACAUACUUCAGACAUUGUAUCUGAAUAAUUCGACUAGCCGAGGUUAACUUUUUCUUUAACCGUGACAUUACAUAAUCUGAAUGAUCUUUAGAAUAAUCUGAUAUUUUUUUUAAAACUGUAUUCACUUGUCAAACUAUUUUCAACUCCGUCUGCAUUAUUAAUUAUUCCAUUACUGUACUCAUUAGUUUCACAUUUGUGAACUUAUUCAACAUUUUUUUUUUGUAAAUUUUCAUUAUAAAAUACUACAUUGGUAAGAGGGUGAGGUCGUAAAGCCUCUAACUGAGUUCUCAUAAAUACACACAUAUAACUUAGCGUUUUUCAUCAACAUCAUAUCAUCACAAUUACAUAAUUCACUUCAAACAAAUUAACAUACAUGAUUAUGUUACACGAACUUUUCAAUUAUCCAUUUCAAACUAGUGUACUUAAACAUACAUUCCAUGAAUUUUGAGUAAAUUUACUCAUAGCAUUUACUUAACCAAACAAGUCAGACACAUAAUAUCAUAUGAAUGCCACACAAACAUAGAUAAGUUUAUCACAAUAUAUACUUUCAUUUUAUUCACGUUUCAUCAUUUCUCAACUUUUGAUUAUCUCAUUUCGAACAUUGUCACAUACAUAUCAUGAACUUCUAUUAUUACAUUUCUAAGUUCCUUCUCAUCAUAAACACAUUUCAAAUAUCUCAAUAUCACUAACUCAUACUUCUCUUACCAUAUACAUAAUUUAAAUUUAACAUUUAAUAAUAAAUAAUUUGAAUUAUAAUAAUAUAAUCGUACGUUGAGUAUGUUUGUACUCAGUGGUAUUACCAUAAUUCAAAUUAUAAAUACUAUAGUAAAUAAUAGACAUCAAAGAUGUAACAAUAUAAGUCAUAUGUGUUAAUUAUGCUUUAAUUUCAUAUCUCGGCAAUAGUCUUUCAUCAAAUGGCAUCAUAUAUCAUCUAUAUUAUCUUUAAUCAAUUCAUGAACCUUUGGUUCAAGCUUUCAAUCUCAUAUCUCUAUUUCAAUUCACAAUUCACAUUUCUUUUCAUAAUUCCACUUUUUCACACUUUCUAUAGUUUAAUCGAUCAAAUUCAUUCGAUUUUCUCAUUUCAUUUACUCAACCCUAUUAACAUAACUCGGACUCAGACGGAUACACGGAUCAAACCAAACAUACCAGUAAGGCACAUUGUGCCUAAAACGGUACAUAGUACCUGAUCAGAAUACGACACAUAAGUGCCUAAAAAACGACACAUAAAGUGCCUGAUCAGUAAAGCCGACAAAUCCCGUACACUUCCAGUUCCUAUGGCAUGCCAAUUAUAUUCGACUAGUCCGACAAGUUAAUAGGGAAUUCAAUUCUCAUUUCAAUUUCACUUAAUAUUCAUAUUUACCCCUAUUAACAAGACUCGGACUUUGGCGGAUACACGGAUUCCAUCCAAACACACCAAAAUGUCCAACCAAAACACACCAGUAUAAUCCUCCAAAACACACCAGUAUAAUCAUCCAAAACACACCAGUAUCAUAUAAUCCUCCCAAACACACCAGAAUAAUAUAAUCCAUCCAAAACACACCAGAAUAGCACAAAGUGCCUCUUCGGAUAAAUCCGAAAGAUAUAAACAUCAGCAUAUCCAAAUCUCAUCUCCAAAUCCCUUCUCAAAAUCCUAUGGCAUGCCAACUAUAUCCGACUCAGUCCGGUACAGUUAAUAGGGUAUUCAAUUCACUUUCCAGUUUCCAAUCAAUACACAUCUCAAUUAAUCACAUAUUCAUAUCAAUUUCAUCACAUUCCCAAUCAAUAAAAUUUUCAAAUAUAACAUAUAUCCAAAAUUCCAUUUCCACAUCAAUCACAUAUAUCCAUACAAAUUUAAUUCAAUAUUGAUACUUACCUUAAAAUUUUACUUACUAUACACAUAAAUUUAAAUAUAACAUUUAUUCAUACCUUUAUGAGUUCCGACUCAUCAUAAUCUACUUUUGCUCACAUAUUUGAGUAUCGCUUUCAACAUUAUCGUAAUUAGCUCGAUUGGGAAAGUAUCUCUAUCUUUAAGUAAAAUAAAUCUCAUCAGAGCUGGAAGAUAGUAAAUUAUCUUAUCACAAGUUAUAUAAUGACAUGUAUUUCUAGACUUUACAUAUGCUACGUUCGGCCCGAGAACCGACUAAACCUUAGCUCUGACACCAAUAAAUGUAACGCCCCUAACCCGAAUCCGUCACCGGAAUAGAGUUACGGAGCAUUACCAGAGUUACCGAUUCAUUUAUCAGAUAUUUUAUUAAUCCGAUAUCUUUUCUUUUCCACGUUCAAGUCUCGUAUUCAAGUCAUCCGGAUCUUUAUAAAGAAAUUUGAUCGUCGUUUUCAUUUAUUUCAUGUUAUAAUACAUUCAACUAAUGCUCUAAACAAAAUUAUCAUUUUACCCCUAAACUUUUAAUUAAUGACGAUUUCAUCCUUAGGUUAAAAUAAAAUAAAAUUAUUGCAAUUUAAUCCUUAUUGCCAGCAGUUAUUCUCACACAAAUUGAUAACAACCUAUGAAUUCUAUAAAAUAUCAUAAUUUUCCAUAAUUUCAACACUUUUCAAUUUAAUCCUUAAAACAUGUUUUUCCCUGAUAUUGAGCUAAAUUAAUAAUUUCAUUCAAUUUUGUAAUUUAAAUAAUAAAAUAAUCCAUUUCAUGCAAAUUGGUCAUUUCUAACAUUUUUUACAAAAUUGCCCAUAAAAUUUUACUUUUAUUCAAUUUAGUCCAUGAGCCUAAAACAUACAAAUUAGCCAUGCUAGCUGAAUAUUCAUACAUAUUUUCCUCCUCCUCCUCUCCAUUCCACAUCCUUAAUUUAUAUAACAUGCAACAAGUAACAUUAUCAAUAAUUUCACUAUUUACUUAUGUAUAUUCAAAACUGUCCAUUUGCGUUAUAGUCACUAAAUUAUUUAUAUCUUAAGCUACAGAACUCAAAAUUAAGAUCUGUUAAUUUUCCCUGAAACUAGACUUACUUAUCUUAUUACCAUAACAUUUUUAGAAUUUUUGGUUUAGCCAAUAAGUACAGUUUAUUCUUUAAAGUUGCCUCUGUUCUGCUGUCUGACAGUUCCGAUCCUUCUUCACUAAGAAUUAAUUAUCUCAUCGUACGAGAUUCGGAUGAUGUUCCCACUUAUUUAUAUUGAAAAUAGACUCUUUAAGGAUUUUAAACAUAUAAAUUUAAUCCCUUAAUUAUUUUUCUCCAAUUUUUUAUGAUUUCCCAAAGUAAGAACAGGGGAACCCGAAAUCAUUCUGACAUUGUCUCAGAAAACUUAUUAUAUCUCAUGAUUUACAAUUCCAUUGCUUACACCGUUUCUUCUAUAAGAAACUAGCUUUAAUUUCAUAUUUUAUUCAUCCUCUAAUUAGAUUUCUACAACUUUUGGAGAUUUUUCAAAGUUAGACUAUUGCUGCUGUCCAAAACUGUUUUAGUGCAAAAUGUUGAUUUUCAUUUUGCCCCAAAUUUCACAGUUCAUACAAUGCAGUCCUUACUUAAUUAACCCCUCAAUUAAACUAAUUUUCUCAAUUAAUACUUUUCCUAGACAUUAUAAGUUAUUUCAUAACUAUUGAAAUUCAUAAUUUCCACAUAAAACUCUAACUUCAAACUCUUUUACAAUUUAGGUCCCAAACAUUCACUUUCUAUUCAAUUCUUUCAAUAAAAUCAGCAUAUAAACAAUUUAAAGCUCUAAUUCUAUAUAAAAUCAUCAUAUACUUCCAUCACAUAUUCAUAGAAACUUUCAAUUUCUUUCAUAGAAUCAAGAACUAAUGAAUUCAACAAAUGGACCUAGUUGUAAAAGUCACAAAAACACAAAAAUUUCAAGAAAUAAUCAAGAAUUGAACUUACUUGCAGUAAAAAUAUGAAAAACCAGCUUAAGGGAACUCUUCCAUGGUGUUUUUGCUGAUGAGAAUGCAGAAAAAUAAAGAGAAAUCUAGAUAAUUUCACUUUAGUCCUAACUUUAUUAAGUAAAUUUUACAAUUUUCCAAUUUAGCCCUUAUUUUCUUGGUGAUUUCAUGCUCUUGCUGUCCGGCCCAAAUAGGCCUUGGGUCUAUUUUCCUUUUAAACCCUCUUUCUUUUAUCAUUUAAGCUAUUUAAUCAUUUCCCAUAAUUUUGCAUUUGAUACAAUUUAGUCCUUUUUGUUCAAUUAGCUAUCAGUACUUUAAAAUUUCUUGACGAAACUUUAAUACUAACUUAUUAACACUCCAUAAAUAUUUAUAAAAAUAUUUAUGGCUCGAUUUAAAAUUCCCGAGGUCUCGAUACCUCGUUUUCAAUUCUAAUUGUUUUAAUAUAUAUAUUUUUUGUACAUUUCACAAUUUCAAAAUUUUUCCUAACUUCACAUUUAAGUUAUACUCACUAAAUUAAUAAUAUUUCCUACUCAUUUGUCGGAUUUAGUGAUCUCGAAUCACUGUUCCGACACCACUGAAAAUUAGGCUGUUACAAUAGUAGCCUCUUAUACACCAAAAGUAGCAAAAUUGGUACUAUAUACCCAAGAAAUUAGAUAUUAGCUCAGUCGACUGAAUUGUAAUGCAAGAAAGAUACCUAAUAAAAGGGGGUUUCUAAUAUAUUAGCUAAUCUUUUAUCGGGUGUUCCCAUUACCAAAUCCUCGACUCUGCAUCAAACUUUUUGCCUGCUUUACAUGUAAUGGAGAAUGCUCUUCAACAGGCUGAGCAGCCCCCAGAUUCAGACAUGGAGCAAAGACUCUUCUUUUUCCUCUUCUUUUUCAGCAAAGACAUACAGUUUCUUCUUCUUCUCUGUUAAAGGGGUUUUUUACGGGUUUUUUUAAAUUUCUUCAUCCAAUGUGGCAAGUUAACUGGCCACUUCAGCUAGUUAACUUGUCACAUCAGCGGUUAUGUUAAGACACGGAAACUGUUAGUCAGUGACUGUUUUGUUACUUUUUUAUAACCUUAGUGACUGUUUUGUUAUUUUUCAAAAGUUUGGUGACUGAAAUGAAACCUAAGUGACUAUAGUUAAGUGACUAUUGGUGUAAUUUACCAAAAAAAAAAACUGAAGGAGUAAAAUCAUAUUUUAACUUUUUUAUUUUUUAAAUUAUAGUCCCAGUUUUUUUUUUAAUUCAUAUAAUUCUUAAAAAUACAGCUGACUAGGUGAUGUGGCAGCCUAUGUUGGACAAUAUUUUUUUGACUAGGUGAUGUGGCAGCCUAUGUUGGACAAUAUUUUUUAGACAAACGGUGUUAAAAUUUGGUGUUAACCAAUAACUCGAUGCUAACUCUACAAGGUGGAAGUUAUUAUAUUAAAGAAAAUAGAAGUUGUUUAGAAUUGGGGGCAACCAUGACUGUAACCAGUCGGAAAAAGGUCGGAUAACGCUCAGCAAAAUUCGUUGGAGCAUGCAUUGAAGAACCGACAACUACCUUUUUUAACGGGUGAUAUGACCUAGGUCGAUAAAUUCUGAGAAACAUGAGCCAAACUCAUGGAGCUCCCUCCGAUUAAGUUGAUCAAUGAGAUUUUUCCACUAACGAUUAGUGUUUGUCCCAAUUGUCAGUUGUACACCUCUUGUUAUUCUUAUUAUACAAUCAAGUCACAGCAUGAUUAGAUGCCUCAUUGUCCACAAUCCUAAUUUCGAUGCUUCUAUUUUUUUCCCGAAUGCUUCAGUCUCUCUCUCUCUUUCUCUCAUGUUUGGAAACUUUAAAUAAGCAUUUUAUUAUGCUGAUGAUAAAAGGUUUUAAUAUAAUUUUGUAUUGAUGUUUAUACAAUUUAUUAUUAUUGCAUAUAUUAAUAUCACAUUACUAAAAACGAAAUCAUUUAUAUUUAUUUUUACAAAAUUUUGAUGACAGUAUAAACUUUUUCAAUAUUAUUUGUUGUUGGUAUGAAAUUUAUGCAAUAUUCAACUUCUACCCCUAUUUACUAUCAUUUAAUUUUAGCCUUAAAUAAAUACGAUAUUACAAGAAGUGAUUAAAUUGAAAACUAUUCAAUUGAGAUAUAAUUAAAUAUAUAUACAUAUUUCAAAUAAAUCAAAAUGUAGAAUUUUUCAUUAUUUUUAACAAUAAUUGAUUUUUUUUUCAAUUUUAUGUUUGGUUUUUUAAAGAAAAAUAUUAUUUCUUAAUUUUUAAUAAUUUUAAAUUAUUCUUUUGCAAUUGUAAGUAUUUUUAAUUUAUUUUUUUGAAGUGAUUGAAUUGGAACCAAAGUUCCAACUGGAUCUCUGAUCGGGUCUUACAAUAACGAAUAAAUCACAUUGUACAUUUUAGUUAAACAACAUCUUCCCAUUACAACAUUGAAAACUCAUCGUUCAAACAACCAACAACGAUCACAACAAAUAUAAAGGAACAUACACACAUUAUAUUUAAUCUCUUAUUUCAACAUUACUCUUAUUAUUAUUUCUUAGCAACGGACGAAACUAUUUACCUAUAUUAAAAACUAGUAGUAGUGGUGGUAUAUCGCAGAAUUCCAUUGGUAAUAUGUCUGCCGGAGGAAGAUCGAGCAGUGAUGUAAUAACGGCCAACAUUUUGGUUUGGACACAACAAGACGUCAAUAACUUGGCCUGGGGCUAGGGUUAAAGAACUUGUAAAGGAACGAUUGGUAUAUGUCCCAUUUUGUCCGACAAUCGUCAAUCUGUGUUUUUCGAUGUCAAACAGCAUUGUUUCAUUGGCAACUGCAUUUAUUACGCGAACAAGGUAAAGGCCCUGGUAAUCUACUUGCAUCUCAAAAGUUGUAUCUACAACAUCAAAAUUGUUGGAUUAUUAGCAUUCAUAGUAAAGGUUUCUGCAUAAAAGUUAAUCUGUUAUCAGUUUUCAUUUCAUGCUGUAUGGCCCAGGGAAGAGGAUGCUUAAUUCAUGUGAUGCAAACUUACGUAUUAAAAGUACAAAAUAGAGUUAAUAAAUAAAAAAAAAACAAGAUUUUGACGGGUCCAACAUCUCGGAUUUUAGUCUUAUGAAUAUCUGACCUGACUUAACUUGGAAACAGUGAGGCCUAAGUCAUUACCAGAUAUCAGAUACCAGAAAAAGAAAAAGUCUAAACAAUAGCGGAUACGUACCGUUGCUGCAUCCAUAUGUUUCUCCGGGAUGACCAUUGAUAGUGUAAGCAUCUGCUGAGCCAGGAGCAAUGGUUUGAUUAGCUUCCGUUAACUCUUCCCUGAACCAUUCCCCUAACGAAAUAUUAUGCCAAAACAUUCAUAUAAGCAAUUAAUUUGCAAAAUAUAUGAAUCAAACAUGUUAAUCAGAUGUACCAAGUAUAAUUGUUUGAUCAGAAGUAGGUGCAGGGAAAGGAUAGUCUUCAUUGGCUACUGGCAAAAUGACAAAGGCACCGUGGACGGUUGCAGCAGCCCAAGCACUGGUAGCGUGCCACCUCAGUGUUCCUAUUUCAUCCCCUAACUCUAUAUUGUAAGUGAAGUUUCUCCCUGGCUGAAUUGUAUUAUUCGAACCUUCAAUUGUAUCCUCAACGCCCUCCCUACAAACCCACAAACAUAUAUCUAUAUAUAUGAUUUAAGUGUUUUAUCGUAAACUAGGAGUGUAAGCAUAUACAUAUAUGUAUAUAUUAGUAUUACCAGUCGAGGGAAACAGCAUAGUUUGCUUGAUUGUGGACAUUGACAGAAACUGUGUCCCCUCUGCGAACCCGAAUCUCAGGCCCUGGAAAGCUGCCAUUGAGGGCCAAGAUGAUCUUCGUGCUACACAGCUUUGUGAACGGGGAUUCUUGCAACUAAUUUAAAUAAAACCCAAAAUCAAAAUUCAGCACUGCUCUCUCUUAUUAACACAAACAGAAAAGGGGGAAGAUGCAAGGAACUUACAGAAAACUCGUAAUAGUGGACAUCGGCUGUGGAUAAGACAAAGAUAUUCAGAAACAAAAGCCCUGAUAACCAUAUAAACCCUUGCUUUUCAGAACCCAUGUUCUUUUUGUUUUUGGUUCUAUGUAUAUGUGUUCUUCAGUUCUCCCCUUCCUUUAUGUAAUGUUUCGGUUUUCAUCCAUUUCUUAAUUAUUUAUAUAUAUAUAAAAAGAAGCAACCAUUUUUCAAAGGAGGUGAGUUAAAGUUUGAAAACAGCCAUUUGGUUUUUAUGUAUUACGUAUUAUAAUUUGUGGUAUGGAAAGGUGUAGAGACAAGUUACAUGCAAAACGACUUUUUCAUUUCCCACAUGGGCGGAAACGGAAAGAUCAAAUCAACAUGGAAAGGAGAUGACGGAGAUUCUUUUUCUUUUUCCCAUUCCAAGUUCAGCAAUUUUGAUAGAAAAUCAUCAAGUCUUUUCAUUCAUUUUCAUGGCUAAUGGUAUCUUUUUUAUUUAAAAUUCAUUCAAUCACAAAGUAAGAGAUAAUAUGUGGGAUUGCAAGAGAUUAUGCGACUGCCUACCUAGUUUUUGGCAGUGUAUGUGAAAAUUAAUUAAGGGAAAAAUCAUAUGCCACUACAACUCUAAUUUGCCUAUUUUAAGAGCUUCCAAAUCUACAUAAAUUCAGCGAAGGAAAACAUUACUAACGACCCAUGAUUAUCCCAAUGAUGUCAAGUCCCUCCUUCCGUGUUUACCGUCAUAUCAAACUUUGACCCAUUUCUAUUGAAUUAAGUAGUUAAAAAAUGAUGAGUUUCUAAUAAAUGAUGGUUACAGGUAUAUUAUACUUUUAGAAGGAGAAGUAACUUUAAAUUUUAGAUACGAUAUUGUAUUAAAAUUGACAUAAAAAAUAUAAAAAAAAUUGUAAUUAAAAGAGUUCAAUAUAUUUUAUUUUAGGUUUUAGAUUCAAGUUUUGCAAACGAAGAAAACAACGUUAAGAGAAUUUUAUUUCUCAUUUAAAAAUUCAACUUGAUUCAACUUCAAAUUUAAUUAAAGUGUAAUGGCUUAAUGCAUACUUAACUCCUAAAGUACUAUACCUUUUUUCCACUUUGAUAGUUAAAGGUUUUUUUGACCCAUCUCAAUCCCUAAUGUUAUUAGACGUUUCCAGUUCAAUCCUUAACAUUACCACACAUUUUUAACAUUUUUAAAAAUAUGUUAGAAUAUUUUAAAAUUGUAAAAAAAUAUAAAAACUCUAUAAAAUUAUAAAAGUUAUUAGAAAUUGUAAAAUAUUAAAAUUAUAAAAAUUAUUAGAAAUUGUAAAAAAUUUUAAAACUAAAAAAAAAGGGUAAAAAUUGUUGCAUCUUAAAAUAAACAUUUGCUAAUCACAUUUAAAAUAUUAAAAUUUGAUAUAAAAAUUGUAUUUAAUUAAAAAUACAAUCAAUUUUUAUAAAAAUUGUAUUUUAAAAAUAUUUUAAUAAAAAGUAACACUUUUUAUAUCAAAAUUUUAUUAUUUUAAAAUACAUUAACUUUUAGACUUUCCCGAUGUUUCUGGCGUAAACUUCUUCCCUCCAUCAUUGUGUCAAUGCUCUCUUUAUUUUGUAUCAAACACUCGAUAAUAAUGGUGGAUAUUGGGAGAAGGAUGACAUAUUUGAAUAUUUUCAUUAUUAUUUGAAUUGAAAUAAUAUUAUUUUUCAUUAUUUUAAUAAAUUUUAAAAAUUUAUUCAAAUUUGUCACUUAACAAAUUGACCAUGUAUAAAUUUUGAUUGAUUGAAUUAUAAAACAUUUUUCUUACUCGGUAUCCUUUCAAAAGAUAAUGAUCUUAUAUUCAAGCUCUAGUAAAUGUCAUUUAUAAAAUAUUAAAAUUUAUAAUUUAGUUUUAAAAAAUAGUAAUUUUUAGUAAAAAUUUCUAUAAUUUUAUAAUUUUUUUGUAAUUUUUAAUAAUUUUCAUUUUUAAAAGAUCUCUUAAAGUUUUUUGGGAGAUGAUGUCAUAAUAUGAUACAUACUAGUAUAUGGAAGGAUUAAACUGAAACAGGAUUAAAACGAAAAAAAAAACUUUAAAGAUAAAAAUUAGGGAAACGGUAUAUAUACUUUAGUGACUUAGUGACUAAAGGAUGCAUUAAGUAAAGUCUUUUAUAAAUAUUGGACACUGAAUUGUCUGAAAAAAAAAACUUAACUUUAUUAAAACCACCAUUAUAUAUGUGUUUUAAAAUUUAACACAGCUUAUUGCAAAUUUAAUUGUAAAAAUAUAUUUUAAUAAUUUUAAAAAAAUUAUAACAAAAUAAAUUUAUUUAGAAGUUAAAAGAAAUUCAUACACAUUUAGUUUAGAGUCAUGACCCUUGGCCUUAGGUAAAUCAUUUGCACCCCACUUGAAUGAACAUUGCCUAUGGAAAAAAAAUCAAAAUUGUAAAAUACCGAUCAGACUAUCACAAUUAUAUUUAUAUUAAAUAAAAAAAAAUCCUGCAACCAUGCUAAAUAAUAAAAAAUGUAUAUUAAAAUAUAUUUAUGCUAAAUAGUUUUUGAAAUUUUAUUAAAUAUGUUUAUAUAAAAAACAAAUGAAAAAAAAAUUGAAACAUGCGAAAAGUCAGUAACAAGAUAAAACUUGGUGUAUAAUACAAGAGAUAAAGAUAUAGUGAGUGUUAAAUAUAUGUGGAUAUAGUUAUGAGCAGAAUAUGUAGAGUCAGAAAUUGUGAGCCAUUAUGUCUUCUCCUACAUGGUCCUAUUUUCUGGAAAUUUUCUCAUUCCGAUAGUCUUUAUGACCACAAUACACGUAACGUAAAUUAAGUCCUCCCCAGGAAAAACUUGUUAAAACAUUUUAAACAUGGAUUACUUUCUAUACGGACUAAACUGCAUGCAUGCAUGCAAUGUUUUAAUUAUUUUUGACGUCUUUUCCCGUAAGUAAUUUAUUCAAAGUUACAAACAAAGUCGUAGAUGGCAGCUGGAUAAUCUCCAACUUAAUUUUGUCUUUGAAAUAGAUAUGUAAUCUUAUCUGAUGGGAUCAUUGUUAGAGUAUUAGAUCAGUAGUGUUGUUAAGAUUCAAUUAAAACGAUUUACGAUGGUGAUUACCGUUAGUUGAUCUUUUUGACAUGUGUAAAGAUCCUUGUUAUUUUCAUUUGUGAUAAGCAUUAAUCUAAUAGUAUUGCUUUUCAAAAAAAUGUUAUUCUUGUAUUACAGUUUUAUGAUUCUUUGCUAUACUUAACUCGUGCAUUUUGCUUUAUUUGGUGAAAUUUUGUACAUUAGUUGCAUUUGAUCAUUUUACAUUUUCUUCCUCUUGUUUUUGAUUGAUGUAUAAAGAGAAAAUCAUGAUUCCCGUUUGAUUUGUUAGAAAAUAUGGACAUCACAUAUAUAAUAAGAAUAAUUACAUGUUAUUAUUUACUAUCAUGAUAGAUUAACCCAAAUUAAAAGUGAUCUAAUUUGGUUAAGGUUUAUUGGACUUUAAUUAUUAAAUAAAGUAUCUAAUUCUAAUUAAUUAUGGGCUAAUUAGGAAUUAGUGUGUCAAAGUUAUAUAUUAGGGUUAUGGUCCUCAAAUUAUACACAACAUAUCUUUUCUAAUAUCCCAUCCUUAGGAAAGAGAGAGCAAAUAUUCUUUAAAUUUCUUAUGUGUUAAUUUAGAAGAUCAAAAUCUCAAGAUCCAAAAAAUUUCAAGGAAUUCAUGGAUUUAGGUACAUUUCUAUAUCUAGUUCUGUUAUUGAUUUAUUCUUAAUAAUUUAACAUGACAGAUUCUAAUUUAUAGUUCUAAUUUCAUAUUAAAUAUUAUUUAAAAUUCUAACAUGAUUCACGCUUUGUUUAAUGAUUUCUUAACUCAAACUACUAAGGAAAUUCAUAUACCAUGUCAACUCUACCUCUAAAACUAAGCAAAAGAUAAUAAUUACUAGUGGAAUACCGAUACAUGUUAGGUUGAAUGAUAAAUAGCUAAAUAUAGUUUGAAGUUUCAAAGUUUAAUAAUUCUUUUUGUCAACAUUUAACUAAAAUAUUAGUAAUUUCUAAUAGUUCACAUUAGUAGUUUCUAAUAGUUCACAUUAAAUGCAUUAGGGAUAAAUUUCAAAAUUAUAUAUAAAUUUUAACCUAAUAUGCAAUUUUAUAAAAAUUUUGAUUUUGUGCAAUUUUAUUCAUAAAAUUUUGAUUUGAUACAAUUCUCGCAAAUUAUUAACACAAUUAUCGAUAUAGCAUCAUUUUAUGUUUACAUAUUGCAUACACAAAUAAUUAUAUUUAUUCAAUAUAAAAUAAUUUGAUGUAUUUAUUUCUUUAAAUGUGUAUAACUGAAUCAAAACUAAUGUUUUAUGUAUAUAUUUGAACUACAAUUUCAUGUGUAUAAUUGCGCCAUAUCAAAGUUCAUGUAUUAAGUUGCACAUUGAAUAAAAGUUCAUGCAUAAUUUUGAGAUUUAUCCCAACGCAUUAGUAAUUUUACUUUAUGCUAGUAGUUGAUGCACUAUUGAUAAAAUAUUUUAAUUCUAUGGGAUAAAUAUCAAAAUUAUAUAUGAGUUUUGAUACAAUUUGCAAUGUUAUAUAUCAAUUUUAAUUUGGUGCAUUUGUAUACAUCAAACUUUAAUUUUGGUUCAAUUUUCACAUUUCACUAACAUGUUAACUAUGUGGCAUAAUUUUUCAUUAAGCCAUGUGUAAAUUGCUAACAUGUCAUUUUAUUAUAUUAAAAACAAACAAAAAAAUUAAAUUAUUUCCACCUAGAUUAAAAAAAUAAACACACUUGGGAAAAUAUUUUUUUCUUUGUUAGGAUUUUUUUUUAAUCUAAGAGGAAAUAAUUUAAAUUUAUCUUUUUUAACCUAAUAAAAUAACAUGCCAGCAAUUUAUACAUGACGUAAUGGAAAAUUGUGUUACAUAAAUAAUAAGGUUAGUAAAAUGUGAAAAUUAAACUAAAAUUAAAAUUUGAUAUAUACAAAUGCACUAAAUUAAAGUUGAUGUAUAACAUUACAAAUUAUAUCAAAAUUCAUGUAUAAUUUUAGUAUUUAUUCCUAAUUCUACAAGUAGAGUUCAUGUCACACCCCAAAUCUGGAUGAUCUAAUUAGAAGACGUGUACAUGCAAAGUUAUUUGUUUGAUGUAGUGUAGUCUACCUAUUAGCAGUCUUCUGGCAGAUUAAAGUUUGGCGUAAAGUAUCUGCCGUGGAAGUAAUUAAAGAUUUUAUCUUAGGUUAUUCUACUAUUUAAGAAAAGAAUAUGACAAGGGAAGAGUAAGCCUGGUGAGAGUUACUGCCAAAAGUAUAGUAUGCUCAGUUUGCCUGAGCAUUGUGGUAAUUGGGUUUUGUAACGUGAUCUGGUUAGGAGUCAGUUGAAUUGAUUAGUCAAAUAAUAUUUGUAUAGUAUUCUCAUUUACAUUUCUCUCGGAUGUUGUAGGCAAUUUAUUAGGAGAAAUUAUGGAUUCAAUCGACACUUGUCAAGUUCCACAAGGGGAACUGGAUAUAUAUAUAUGGUGAGAAAGGUUCGUUUCGAUGGUUUUUCUUCCUUCAAUACUACUCUCUGGUUCUUCUUCUUAAACUUAUAUGUUUUCUUCUACUUUAUUAAGUUGGAAGCUAGGGUUUUUGAAUUAAUAAGUGGAUGUUCCACCUCCUGGUAAGUCUGAUAGCUCUACAUGUUAAGUUUUCGAAAGAAUAAGGAUAUUAAGAAGCAUAUGAACAGUGAGUUGUGAAUAAGAGACCCUGCAUGGGAGUUGUCUGUAAUUGAGAUGUUAGUAAUUUGUUUGUAAAUGAGUUUUAUUGGUGGUUCCAUGUUCUCUAAGUAGUUGUUGCUGCUAGUUCGAGAGGGAUGCUCGAGUUUGAAACUCCAAGUUGCAAUCUAGGUGAGUAUUGGGUGAGUCUCUAUCUUGGACCUGCAUAUGAAUUGUUCAAUUAGAUAUAUGUAUGUUGAUAACAUCUUGGAAAACUAGUAAAUGUGUAUGCAAAGUAAUGUAAAGGUUCUGCAUGAUUAAGAAUGAUAUGUGUGAGAUCUGAUAUGAGAAAGUAAGUGAUGAGUCACUAAACUAACUAAAAUUACGACAAAGGCAAAUACACCUAUCGAAUAGUAGUAUAGCUAUGGUGAGUCGGGAAUAUCGUAUCCAUGAGAACUAAAAGUACUAGUAAUUACUAUCUUUUUAUUAUCUAGCCUAUAAAUUAAAGGGGAUGUUUUUAAUCUAAAUUUAACUAAACUAAUUAUUAAGAACGAGACAGAGAAUAGAAUGUGAAAAUACUUGAAUAUAACCAAAGAGAAAGACAAUACCCAGGAAAUAAUCUACCUAGACUUCACUUAUUAUUCUGAAUCUGAAUUAAACAAUUUAUUCACUUGUGCCUUGAUCCGUAGAAAUCCCUAAAUUAUAUUAAUACCUCUUUCGAGAGUAAGAACAAUUGAUUCUAGUUUGAUUAAUUGAAAUCUCUUUCUAAUUAAAAUCUCUAUUGUCGUAUUAACUCGAUCUAUGGAUUCCCCUAUUAGAUUUGACUCUAAUCCAGUAGAUUUAUGUCAUCCUAUUUCUAGGAUUGCAUGCAACUCCACUCAAUUAUGCCAGAUCUACUCUUAAACAAGGACUUUUGCUUCACUAAAAUAAGCACAUCACACUUGAAUUAAUAUCUUGAAAAUAUUAAAGCAAGAAAUAAGCAUACAUAAUUGAGAACAAGAACAAGUAUUUAUCAUAUAAUCCAGAAAAUCAAAUAAUAAGAUAUAUCAUAGGUUUCAUCUUCCCUAGGCAUUUAGGAAAUUUAGUUCAUAAUUUGGAAGGAAAACAUCUCAAAAUUAGGAAAGCAACAAAACAUAAAAGAAACCCAAAAACUUCUAGAGAAAUUGAAUGAAGAUCUUAAAUCUUGAAAGAGAUCCUGCUUCUGAGUUGAAUCCGUUGGCUUUUUUCAAGUAAAUUCUUUGUUCCACUCUAUGUGCUCCAUUUAGUCCUCUUCUAAUAGGUAUUUAUAAAUUUUAGAAUGCCCAGAAACCCUAAAAAUUGGGUUUUUCUGGGUAAAAAAGAAGCAGGGUUCGAAAUCGGCACAGGUUGGCACAUGGGCAUAUGGCCAGCCCAUAUGGCUCACAAAGGCGUGUCCCAGCCCGUUUGGAAGUACCCAGGCCGUGUGGUUCCUGAGGAUAGCUUUUUUUGUCCGAUUUUGGCCUGUUUUUUCGCUCUUUUCACUUUCCUAUGCUCACCUAAGUAUAGAAAUAUAAAUUUAAAGGAUUAGGAGCAUCAAAUUCACUAAUUCACAUGAUAAAUCAUCCAAAAACAUACCAAGCAUGAGAUUAAAACAUGUUCCUUUUAUGGUUUAUCAGUAAGAACCAAUCAGGUAUGUGAAUAAAUUUGGGUAAGUAUCUUUUUAGUAAAACAUCCCUUUGUGAUGCCUCUAGUAGAACGGUUAUAUUGCUAACAGACUGGCAGAAUGAAAUAGAAUGAAAUAGUUAGAUUGAGCUUGAAUGUUUAAAUGGAACGUAGGUGGUAAUUUUGACACAAGUAGGUUAGUAUGGAAUGUUACAAGUGAAUAGGUAUGGAAUUGGUAAUUAAAGUCUAGUUACUAGCAUAUUUACAAUUGAUGUAAAUAGGGAAGAGAAUUGUACCUAAUUUGCCAUGAUGUUUGAAUUAAAUUUAGAGACAUGUUGUUAAGAUUUUGAUCAAGUUAAUCUUAUUGUUUUGGUUGUAAGUUGAUGGAUUUAUUGUUGUGAAUUGUGAUGUUAUGUUAUAUGCUUGACAAUAGAGUAUAUGGCACGUUUGAGGUGCCCAAGAUUAUCAUUGAAAAUUGUUUUAUAUUUGAACAUGAAAUAGAAACUUUAAAAGGUGAUUUUGACAAUUUUUGCACAAAAGUAUCGAUACCUUGACAUUAGGUAUCAAUAUUUGACCACAUGAAUAGUUUUCUAAAAUAAACAGGUUCACAUUUUGGUAUCGAUACCAAAUAAUGGAUUGAUACAGUAUCGGUACCAAGCAAUUAAGUAUCGAUACCAACUUUAAAAAUUUGAGAUUUCACAAUUCAAUCCUAUUUCGUGCUCAGACUUAACAAAUUGGUAUUGUAUGUUCAAUUUUCUAGAUUUGGAAUGAAUGUGUAUUUAUAAUUACAUGUUUUGAAAAUAAGUACGAAAACGAUGAAUAUGACAUUUUAUUAUCCAGAUUUGGAGAUUGGGUUGGGUAAUAGGGUGUUACAUUAGUUUUUUUUUUUGAAUUUUUUAGAAUUAGGAAUUGAACUUGUUAUUCAAUGUUAGAAUUAGAAGGAAACAGGGUUCCAAGAGCAACGGAGGAGCUAGAUGUUAGUUGGGUGCAAGUACGGACAACCAACCGUCUUUGGUAAGUCUCGGAAAGGCCAAAUCGAAGUCAUGUCAUCACAUAACAACCCCAUGGUGUGACACAACCAUCUUAACAUUAAAAAUGUGAAGAUUCAUUUUUGUUUCGCGCCAUAUACACUCUAUGACGCGACACACACACAUACACCCCCUUUAAACAAAAAUAAGGUAGAAAUUUGUCUCGUGUCACGCCAUACUUCCUCUAUGGCGCGACAUGCAGGCCAUUUUUGGAAACUUUCCAUUCUUGGUUCAAUGCGAUCUUCAAAGAUAUAUCCCAAGUUUGCGCAGAAACUAAAGCCCUAGAUGGCCUCUAUAUAUUGCCCUUACUAGUAGCUACACCCUCCAAGCCGUCACGAUCAGCCAAACCACUAUUUGCUACCCUUUUCUUCGAGAUUUCGUGAAUUCUUUGCCUUUCCCCUAUUCUAUAACCUCAAAAUCAUGUAUAGCAACCUUUUUGACAACAAAUCUGUAACGGAUAACUACUCCCCAAAUGACCAGUCGGCCAUGACCACCUUUGGCACUCAAAAAUUAAAUCUCAUUUCCUCUUAUAACACAACCAUAAAUCAUGUUACAUAAUUUCAAUAAAUAAUGAUAACAAAAUCAAAGAAAUUCAACCAUCUUGAAUUAAUAAAAUCAUGAUUCACAAGGUUGGCCCACUAUAGACAAUUUUUUCACUUAUGCUAAAAUAUAAUUUAAUAAAAUAAUAUUUUCAAAAGUUUGCAUGUGACACAUAAUAUACAUUAUUCAAGGUUAAAACCUUUUCAGAAGUGAAUCGUAGUUCAACAAAUCAUUUGCCUUUGAUUGUUGUGGUGGGAAAAUUUCUCAUGUACAAGUCAUUGUCAUAUUCAUAUUGUGUGAACUUUGAGAGCAUACCUUUUUCCUUGGACAUGUGUUUGAUUGUUCCAAUAUCAAUCCACCAUGCAUUAUCAUCUUAUAUUAUAUCAAUUUCAAAAAUCAUAGAAACAAACUUCUCGGUAUUGUUAACCUUAGAAGAAAUAUCAUUUUUUAAAAAUUGACAUUCAUUCUUGAAAUGUCUCAGCUUACCAUAAUGGUAGCAUGAGCUCCUUUAUUGCUUCUUGAAAUUAAGUGCUCUAACAGUCUGUUCAAACUUUCUCUUGGAUGGUUUAAUAGUCCGUCCUUCCUCCGUAAUAUUUUUGAUUAUUUUCAGAAUCUAGGUUCUGGUAUUGCUUUCUAUAUUUUUCUUCAAUUUGAACAUGAUUUGUAAAAGCCUCAAGAAAUAUAUCAUCUUUCUUAUGUUUUAUACUUUUUUUAAAAUCUUUCCAAGAUGGAGAAAGUUUAUCUAUAAUGGAGGAUACAACAAUCACUAUGUCUAUUUUCAUGUUAUAUUGCAUAAAUGAACUCAAUAUUUUUUCAAUUUCACGAAAUUAUUUCAUAACAGAACGACCAUCAAUCGCGUGAUAAUUAUUGAAACAACUAGUAAGAAAUUUCUUACUUGUAGCAUAUUCGAUCAUGUAUCUUAUCUCCGAUUUAUCCCAUAACUCCUAGAUUGUGGUCUUGUUCUAGUAGGCAUUCAACAAACCAUCAGAUAAAUCAUUCAAUAUGUGGUCUAUGCACAUGUAAUCAACAUUGUUCAUUUUUACCUUUUUUGGCUUGCAACAACAAAUUCAUUUUCUUUCUCUUCCGAUCUAGGAGUAUUCAAAACAUAAGCAAUCAUCAACGUUGAUAAUAAAAAAUGCAUCUUUUUCUACCACCAUUGAAAGUUGAUAGUAAAAAUGUUUUUUUAUUUAUUUAUCCAGUAUUUAUUUGAUUUGAAAAGAAAUUCAAAAUGUAAAAAUUAUAUUAUAAUCAUUAUUAAAUGUGUUCAUAUUUGUCAUGAACUAUUAAUAUAAGUGAUGCUGGACUAUUUUCUUUUUAUUUUUUCAAUUUAUUAUUAUCAUGUACUUUCUUAUAUAGUUUCAAAUAUAUUUAUUAUUUUAAUAGAUGUAUCUAUUAAUUCAAUUUUUAAUUAAUUUUUAGUUCAAUACUGACUUUAUGCUUGAUUUAAAUUCUUUUAUUUAAUUACUUACUAUUUUAUUAUAGAUUGUUUUCAUUUUUUAUUUUUAUUACUUUUAAAAUGGUAUUUUAUUUUAUAAAUUAUUUUAAAAAAUUAAAACAAAUCCUCAUUUAAAUAAAAAAAUAUUUUUUGAUAUUAUAAAUAUAUAUUUUUUAAUAAAUUAAAAUAAACAUAUAAAAUUCCAUGCAACACAUAACAUGAUAUACUAGUAUUAAAAAAAUAUCAUUUAUAAUUAAAUAAUAAAAAAUAUGUUUAAAUAUUUUUUCCUAAGUGGUUCAAAAAUAAAUACCAAAACUAUUAGCAAGUUAGCAAACACCCAUAUCUUAAUUUAAAUAAAAAUUUUAAAAAUAAAAAUUAAUAAAAUAAUCGGAUUAAAUAUGAAUUUUGAAUUACAUGGCAGUGGAUUUCUUUAAAAAGCAAAAUUUAAAAAUAAAAUAAUGUUUAACAUAAGAUAUAAAAAAUUGAAAUAAAUUGAAAAAACGUUUCAAAAAUGUAGUGGACAGGUGGCCAUUUUCCAUUUUUUUAAUAUAUAUUUUGGAACGUUUGUUUUUCCCCCAAGUCAAUGUAUACAAAGUACAGUUGCAAAGAAAGAAACCAAAGGAGCAGGAGCUUCCUUUCCUAUAAAUGGUUGAAUUUUAUGGCCCAAAGAUGACAAAAUUCAGGGGCGAACUAAGAACACGGUAGAGAGGAAAAAAAAAGGGUUUACAGCGAGAUAUGGUCUCAUGGUUUGUAGGGGUUCUAUUUCUAAGCACUUUGCUCCUUUGCAGUGCUGAUGUACAUCACUAUGAGUUCUUUGUGAGUUCCCUUUUUCUUAUAUAUUCUUACUUGUCACAGUCGUUUCGUCUACAUAUUUUGGAAUUUUUUAAGUUUAUUAAUCUUAGACUUCUUAUUAAAAUAUGACUCCUAAAAACAUGAUGGCUAAGCGUCUGAGAAUGAAGACAACAAAAUCAUCACAGCUGCUUGGACAGCGAAAUGAUUACCUUUUUUUUAUAUAAUAAGUGAAACCAUAGUUUUUUUAUUGCAGGUGCGAGAGUCAAACUUUACGAAACUGUGCAACACAACGACAUUGCUGGUCGUAAACGAUAGUUACCCGGGGCCUGAGAUUCGGGUUCACAAAGGUGACACUGUCUUCGUUAAUGUCCACAAUCAAGGAAACUAUAGCUUCACCAUUCACUGGUAACUAUAACCUUUCUUUCAUUCUUCCAAUGAUAAUUUCCCUAAGAAUUGAAUUCAUUAGUGAUUAAGAUAAAUUAAACAUGUUGCAGGCACGGCGUGAAACAACCAAGGAAUCCAUGGUUCGACGGUCCCGAGUUCAUAACGCAGUGCCCGAUUCAACCAGGGACCAACUUCACCCAUGAAAUCAUAUUAUCGGAUGAAAUAGGAACCCUGUGGUGGCAUGCACACAGUGACUGGACUCGCGGUUCUGUCCAUGGAGCUUUCAUCAUUUUACCAGCUGAGAACGAUACUUAUCCUUUCCCCACUCCAAACGCCGAUCAAACAAUCAUACUUCGUAAGUAUGCCUUUUGAUUUUUCGGUUCUGUUACUUGUGUAUAAUUAUAUGAAUCUUAGUUUGAUUCUUGUCUGUAUAUACAGAAUCGUGGUACAAUGGGGAUUACAAGCAAAUUAUCGAUGAUGCACUCGCAGCUGGUGUUGCUCCUCGCACAGCAGAUGCUUAUGCUAUCAAUGGACAUUUAGGAGACACAUAUGGAUGCCCCAAUGGUACGUUCUCCGCAUUACAGAAACCGGAAUCGAAUUUCUAUGCCUAGGGAUCCUUACUUACACUAGGAGUCUAUCAUUGGGUGUUGCAGAUACAAUAUUCCUCAUGGAAGUUGAGUCUGAGAAUAUAUACCUUCUCCGCAUAAUCAAUGCUGCAAUGAACGAAGAGCAAUUCUUUACCAUCACAAACCACACCCUCAUUGUCGUCGCACAAGAUGCCUCCUACGUUCGAAUGUUCACCACAGACUAUAUAAUGAUAAGCCCUGGUCAAACCAUGGAUGUUUUGGUCAUUGCCGAUCAAAACGUCGACCAAUAUUACAUGGCUAUUAGGCCUUUCUCUGAUUCCGCUGCUCAACCUAGUGACUUCAUUACUACUGGCGUUUUUCAAUAUACAAACAAUGAGGGUGGAUUGAAUGCUUCCUUGAUACCGCUGCCCGCAAUGAACGAUACAGAUGCUAUGCUUAACUUCAUCAACCAAAUUCGGUACACCAAUGUCUCCCAAAACCCGACCAUAAACGUACCGGCGGAUACAGAUAUCAAUAGACGACUGUACAUUACAAUCGCCACAAACACCUUGCCAUGCAACACAUCAGAAUGUGUUUCAGAUGACAGAUUCGCUGCAAGUCUGAACAAUGUCAGCUUUGUUUCCCCACGUAUUGACAUUCUCCAAGCAUACUACAGGUGUGUGUGUAUAUAUAUAGCAAUUCUAGUACCGCUAGAAAAGAAAAGGAAAAAUAAUUUGAUUACUGUAGCUAAUUCUUAAAGUUUUGGUAAUAUUGCAGGAACAUCACUGGUGUUUUCACCCAAGAUUUUCCGUUUAAUCCACCAGUAUUCUAUAAUUUCACUGGAAACUUGACUGAUUUCAAUACUGUAGCUGGGGAAGGGACGAGGGCUAUUGUGGUAAAUUAUGGGGAUGCAGUAGAGAUGGUGCUGCAAACGACCCGGUUGGGGGCUGGUGGAAGUCACCCAAUUCAUUUGCACGGUUUCAGCUUCUAUUGGGUGGGAAUUGGUACCGGAAAUUUCAACAAUGAGACAGACCCAAGCACAUAUAACCUAGUUGAUCCGCCACUUAUAAACACUGUCCACAGUCCUGCUGCAGGAUGGGUUGCCCUCAGGUUUUUU
rnacentral:lncRNA from 1 species